rnacentral:lncRNA from 1 species
CUGGUGGGGAGCUCGAAGAGGCCGUACCUGCUCAGCCGCAGGCACCUCGACCACCCGCUCCUCUGCGCCCUCCUCGAGAAGCCCAGUGGCGGUGCCGCUGUCGUCUCCGUGCGGUGCGAAGUGGUGAUCUUCGACCACCUGUUGUGGAUGCUCGAGAACGCCGGCCCCGCUGCGGCGGCGGAUUGCUCUGAGCUCGCCACCCUCUACUCCUCCUGAGUCGCCCCCUGGUGGAGGGAGAAUUCGGGAAAACCGAGGGAAACGCCGCGGAGGAAGGGGUCUGUUCUGCAGAAGAAGGUGCUUGGGGAGCGGUAUUUUGAUUAUUUCCGCUGCAGGAUUUACCGGAGGCCUUCGUCUGCGGAAUUUUACUAGCCUUCAUCCUUCAUGUCGAAUCCCAUCUUCUUAGCCCACAUGUUUUUGACGUAAAUUUAUAUGUACCAUCAUAAAUUUCAUUUGUUUAGAUAAUCUUUGCCUAAAUGGGCAUGCGCACUUAAAUCCAUGUCACACAUUUCUCCUGAAUCACCUACUAUUUUCCGUAUCAUAACUCUCGUACUUUACAACUACUUAUUUAUCAUAUCAAUAUACUUUAAGACAUAAGUUUAAUUUAAUGCUUAUAUUUAAUAAAUUUAUAAAUUAUACACUAUUAUUCUGUCACAAGUCAACUAGAAUUUUCAACCAAUGUCAUUCUAAAAUCAGCAAUGUACGGGUAGCCUUAGAUCAUUCCUAAAUAUAGAAAAAUGUUAGAACACUAAUGUGAUGACCCUGGAGACCAACAGCUACACCCAAAAAGAUUGAAUAUAUAUGAGUACCGACGACCCUAUAUAAGACCAUUAGGGCAUCAAGAGCGGACCAGAUGUCAUUAGCAUAAUGGUGUGACAUCUGUUGGAGUGGAGCAAGGCGUUAGAGCAGGUAACAAUGAUCAUGUUUGGGCACACGAAAUUAGAUCAAUUUUGAUAGUACUACACAUUGCUUGGUAUUACUUUGAGGACAUGCAUGUCCUGAUGAAAGAGAUGAACCUUGGCCUAUGUGGGUUAGGUUAUUUCUCCAAGUGUACUUCCUUUCGUAAAUAGUCUUGAUUUAUUAUGUGUGAAUAUUGAUAAGUUAAUUAGCUGGACAUCAUGGAGGGUGACCAAUAUCAGUUGGAUGGGAAAAUAGUGCAUAGCUUGGGAGUUCUUAUGUGAGAACUUGGUUUUAGAACAAGCAAGGAUGACUACCAAGAGUGUUGUCCAAGGCCAAAGGUUGGCUUGCAUUGAGAAUCACCUUUCCAUUGUGUUUAUUUCUUUCAAGUCAGUCUUAAAUCACCUUCAAAUAAUGAUGAAUUGGUUGGAAUAUGCAUGUGGCAUCAACACAAACCAUCAUCUAUACUGUCAAUCAGUUAGGACUGAGCUCAGACGUCACCAACCUAGAAAAGGUCAUGGAGGUUCUUGUAGUAAAUAUGGUGUUGUUGAGGCCCCUGACAACUAGCAUGUGGUCACCUAGGGUGCUAAGGUUGACCAUAAUAUUUGAACUCAGAACAAGGUUUCUAACCCUAUGCCAAAUGUAUCUGAAAAAGAAUAGGAAAGCAAAACGUAUGUGAUGGAUUAGAAUACUUAGCAGAUUGAGAAUUUAUUUUGGGGUCUCGUUCAACACUUUAAGGUACGUCCCAUGGCCAAGGAGGGAGUCACACUAGCUAGCAUGUAUCUUGUAGUGGACACCAAGCUAUGAUAUUUGGAUCAAACUAAGGUCCUUGUCUCCACUUGAGACCAAUUUGUCAAUGGGUGGAAGAAACAGUUCAUCACCAUGAGCAACUUGUGGUUGGCUAGGGAUGUGUUUCACCAAAUUGGCAUAGAUAAUGGCUUUGUCAAGUAGUUUAUUUCUUCACCUCGUGCCUUCAUCAAUUAUACUUUUUACUCACCACCGAGAUACCUUAGGGCUUGCUAAGAAAUAAUGAUCAUAAUAGAUGAAUUGUUCAAUGGUCAAAUUGAUAUGAUGAAGAGUAUGAAGUUUUUUAUUUAUUGUUGACACAUGAUGUAAAAGCAAUGAUGAUGAGCAUCAAAUCCUUGUGUAACCAUUAAUCGUUCAAUUCAUAACUCUUUUUUAGAGAAUAAUCCUUAGUUGUGUAUUUAUUUUUUCAAUAUAUUUGAUCUCCAAUGUUAAAGAUAUUCAAAAACUUAUAAUUCUUCAGAGCACACAAUAGAUACAUUCAAACAUUUCAAUAUUGAAAUUUUGAUAUUUUUAGAGGCAUUUGAAUUGAAAUUUGAACUAGAGCUCCUUAACUUGAUAGAGAAUAGUUGGAUAUCUACAUCAACUCUAGGUUAUGAAGUUUUUACUUCUCAUUUUCCACUUAAAUAUAUCGCAUAUCACCAUCAACAUAUUAUUUUCAAACUAGAAUACUUAAUACAUCCUUUAUAUUUUUUCUAAUUUAAUGCACAUGAUACAUUAAAGAAUAUAUUUAUUGCCAUCAUAAAAUGAACUAUGUUACUAGAUCAUCAUAUAUAAUCUAGAUGAAAAUAUUUAACUUCCACUAACUACAUUUACGUGUGUAUUGACUCAUAUUGUGUUAGGUUUCAGCCUAUAAUACAAUCAAGAAAAGGGGUUGACUUGAUAUGUUUCUAAAACUCUUUUGGAUAUAUUUAUUUUAGUUACUUCAUCUUUUUAUUAUCUUUAUCAUUCACAUAAUCUUUCUAUGCUUCAACAUGUAUAAGACUAAGAGAUUUUAUGGUGGUUAGGCUCAUUGCCUAUGUCAACUUUCUAAUAACAACUUUGUUCUGAGGUUCCAUUAACUAUGGUUGUCUAAUCGUACAUCAUGGAAUAUAGGAUUAACUCCUAUAGAAUUUCAUUCAACUUUUUUCCUAAAUUACAACACUAAAAGACCAAUAAAAAUGUAAAGAGAUAACUUAUAUUAGUGAUUAAGUAAUAUUUCAAUUAUACUUCUAUUACACAAUAUAAAUGAAAUGGUCUCACCAUGAGUAGAAUUUUAGAAAAUGGUAUUAACUUGAAAUUAAUUUGAAAUUUUAAUGAAGAGGAUGGUGAUCAAAAAUUCAUAUUUGAUGUCAUCUUUUUUUAUGAAGGUUGAUGAAGAUGGAAGGUGUUGUGUUUUUGAACUCAUUGAAGAUAGGCAUGAAAUACUUGGAUAAUCCUCCUCAACUUGAUACCUUCAUGUAAUGUGACUAAUCAAUAAAGGUCUUAUGAUUUCCUUCAGAAUUUUUCUGCAUAAAAACCACAUAGAAGUCUUAAGAUUGUGGAGAGAUUAAAGAUAGUCUUUUAGUUUUGAUCAAUCAUUAGAAAUUUAUUUUCUUAUUAUUUUGUCAUCUUACCAUGAUAAUAUUUCUAGAAAUGAUUUAGAAUUCAAAUAGUUUGAAAAAUAAUGUAAUAUGCUCUUUAAGAGUUCAGAUAUCUUACAGAAAAAUCAAUGUGAUUCAUUUAAAACAGAAUGCAGAUAUCUGAAUUGUAUUGAUUCAAUCAAGGUUAAUACAAAUCUAAAAUUUGUUAAAAUAGGGCUCACAAUGUAUAUCUUGAUAAGAUAACGAUUUCGUAAUCAAAUCUUAAUGAAAUCACCUCAAAUAAAAUAAAAUCAUCAAGUGAGCAUCUUGAUUCAUGAUCUUAAUAUAAUCACCAACUUGAUUUAGGAUUAUCUAAAAUAACUCUGUAAAAUAUAUUUCUUAAUAUUUAGAAAAUUAUUAUUAACUAAAUAAGUAAUUUAAUUUCAAGUGAUUAUAAUAAUAUUAAAAUCACUCAAAAGUAAUGAUCAAAUGUCAUGAGUACAUUAUAGAUUGAGUAAGCUUUCAUAUCUACUUUUUAGCUGUUGUUUUCUAAUUGAUUAUGAAUUUUUUACCAUUUUUUUAUUAAUAUGAUAUAAUCAGUAAAUAAUAACACUUUCUAAAAAAUAUGCAAUAUGAUAAUUUCAUAUGAUGAAAUCAGUUAAAUAUAUGAAUUCAAUAUUACUAUUCACAAGUAUUUUCAAUGAAUUAUCAUCUAAAAUAUUAAUUCACCCCCCCUUCUUAGUAUUUUGCCUAGCCUUUAGAUCUUUCACUUUCUACCUUUCGUGCCUCAAAGCUCAUUCAUAUAAUCUAUUUCAUUUGACAUUCAAAUCAUAAGUUCUCAUGUUUUGAAUGAACAGUUCUUCAUUUGGACAUGAUUCUUGAUAAGUGUGAUUAAUCAGCCUUUACUACAUGUUAGUUAUUGAUACAUCAAUGUCUAGGUUCUUGGUUUGAAACUCAUGACAACCAUUGUAUCUCAAAUUUACUAUCUUUUCUUACGUGUUGACCUUAGGCUUCCUUUGUUAAUUUUUGUAGAAUAUUUAAAUCUAUAUUUAAAUAUUUAUUUCACCCUAUAUUGAAACUAUUAAUCUCAAGGAACACUUCUUUGAAUUUCACUUAUUAGCCAUAAGAUUUCAAUGUUAUUCACAUAAGUGAAUCUCAUAAAUGUUAACUCAUAAUAUCAUACUUAUUCACAUAUGAAAUUUUAAAAAUAUUCAUAAAUAAAAUUUCAUAUUUCUAGUAUUAAAACCAAGGGUGCCAACAAAUUAUCUAUAUAUAUAUCAUCUAAAUGAAAUUUUUUUUAUUUCACUAAAGGAGUCAACACUAUGUUAAACUAUAUGGCCAUAUACUUACCCAUUUUUUGGAUAUAUUUUCCAAAUUAUAAUAUUUUAUUUUAAAAUAUUAAUCAAAUAAACACUCAAACUCAUAUAUUAAAAUCUUAAAUUUUAAUCAUUACUAAUCAAGCAAUAAUUAUUGAAUAGAAAAAGAAAAUAAUCAAUUUAUUGAAUGUAUUAUGUAUUUAAAGAUAGAUAAAUGAACAUACACAUAAGUAUCAACAUCAGAUAAUAACUUAUCUAUAAUUUUUUAUUUAUAAUCAUUGAAAUCAAAGACAUCAACAAGGAUCUGAAAUAGAAGGAAAAGAUGAAACAUGCAUAUUUGGAGGAGGUAAACAUCUAUUUGCAGAAGCAAAAUAAGUUGGACUCAUUUGUCUGUUUAAGGGUGCUUAUGGUACCCCAUCCUUUUUUGUAGAAAGGAUAGAUCACUUUGAUUAUGCAUUUAAGUAUUGGAUGUUCAAACAAAUAAGUGUGUAGAAUAAGUAUUCAUUCGAUGCCCAAUUGGAAUAAGUUGUAUAAUUGCUUAAAGAGAAUUCAUUAUUUUUUACUUCUAGAUUUCAAGAGUUGAUAUCAUUGAGUAUCGAAUUUGGGUAAUGAGUAGAAGAUACCUUUAGCAACUCACUAUGGUUUGUACUAUUAUGAAUUCAUGAUUGACAACCUAGUUAAUACUAUUUUAUGGGAAUGUAUUGAUUACUUUAUGACAGUAUAUUUAUAUAAAAUUUUUAAUAUUAAUCUAACUUUAGAUAAAUAUAUGCAAUACUUGUUGGAGGUGGUUACCAAAGAGAUAAUUAGUUAUAUUUAAAUCUAGCCAAAUAUGACUUUGUAUUGAAGGAAGUCACUUUUUAAGGGCACGUUAUUUGUACAAAUAGACUAUACAAAUGUUCAUAUCAGUAUAAUUGGCUGACAUGUGGUUUAGUUUACAAAUUAUGGCCAUUUAUUAACUUUUUGAACUGCUGCAAAAAAAGAUUGUACACAAUUAUAGACCUUUUAACAUAAGGGCUUGAAUUGACAUUAAAUGGGUUUGUUAAUGCUCUUUUGAUGGCUUGAAGCAUGAUGCUACAAGUAAACCAAUGGUCAAAUUCUUAAUAAAGGAGGGGGAGGUGUUGAUGAAGGACAUACAUCAAGUGAUGUAUGAUAGCCAAAACUUGAUUGAGAUGGAAUGGCAUUACUUAAAGUCAGAUGAAAAAACUCUCAUCCAAAUAUAUGAGUUGGUUUGAAUUCUUGACAAAAUAGAAAUUUUGAUACAUAGGUAUAGAACAUUACAAGCAAUGUAAUAGUUGACCUUUGUAGUCGAAAGGAGCAUCAUGUGUCCAUUUAUCUCUAUCACUAGUAAAAUGCUUGAACUAGCAGAUGACCCAAAGAUAACACUUGAUGUAGUGCACCUAAAGGCAAGUUGUGACACUUCUAAAUUAAGGAUAGAGUCCUAGGUGUUGAUGUCCUUGGGCAUAGAUUUUGAUAUUUCAAAAUAUAUGAGAAAAUAUAUAACUCAUGAUUGAUAUAAUUUACAAGAAUAUGAUAAAUGAUUUAUAAAUUUAAUGCAAAUAAAUCUAUUAUUCAUCUUGUGACAUUAUGACUAACCUUGAGAUUAAGUGAAAUGAUGAAGAGGUGAAGCGCCACGUAUGGAUAAAUAUUUGUUGGAAAACUAAUAUUUAAUAAGUGAUGAUUAUAUUUUUAAUUCAUAUAUCCAUGUUUAUUUAACUAUUUAAGCACAAAAAUUAUUUAUUAGUCAUGUGCAUCAUUAAAAGAAAAAGAAAAAGGUUUCAAAUAUCAAAUGAGUUUUCAUGAGUCUCAAACCAGAAAUCUAGAUGGUGACAUGUCAUCUGCUUACGUGAAGAAAACGACAAGCUUAAUGUUCGAAUCUGAAGACAAAGUCAAUAGGAAAGUUGUUCAUUUAUGAGAGAAAAAUCUUUAAUUCGAAUUUCAAAUUGAACAAACUAGAGAAUAGAAAGAUAUUAAAUUCGUAAUGGUCAGAGGUCGUUGUUGUACAUUCCGGAAAAUGAUAAGUAUUCAAAUUGACCAUCCGACUUUGUCUCUCGAGCAAAUUGUGUAAAUCCAUUGGAAGAUAAUGUCCUACAAGUAAAUGAAGCAAAGGAAAUAAAAAACAAUGAUUCUACUUCAGGACUGAAAGUAGUUAGAUGAGAGGUAAACUAGUAUAAAAAGCUCUUGCCUCGUAGUGAGAUCUUGUCAGAAAAAAGAGCCCUCCAAUCCCAAUUUACACAUAAUCUAUCUCUAUUAAGGUAUUCACUAACCGUAUGUAGAUAAUCACGUAAUGCUAUAUUAACACAUGUGUUGACACAUCUAACAUCUGAUAAGAAAAUCUGAGAUUUCUAAAAUACCAAUUCACCCUCCCCUCUUGAUAUUUUGUAUAGCCUUUAAAUCUUUCACUAGGUACACACAAUUGUUAGUUGUAUGUAACAUGUGCAUGUGGCCUAUGUUGGCAUCUAUUGUCUAAGGCACAUGAUGGAGAAUAUGAUAAAUAUCUUGAGCAAAGACACAUAUGGGCUAUGUUCUAACUUUCUUUUGUUUGAGAUGGAGAAAAAAAUUGAAAUCCACCAAUUUUUACUUGAUCUACUAACAUGAUAAAAUUAAAAUUCCAUGGUAAACUCCUCAUUGGAACCACUCAAUGUUCUAAAUUAAUUGUUGAAUACAUCUUGAUGGACUUCAUAAUGUAUUGCUAACAAUAAAAAUAUGAUGAGAUCUUUGUUAUUGAUAACCAUUCUCAAAGUAUAAUAUUUUCGUAGAGAGAUAUGGAUAACAAUGCAGAAGAGGUAGCAAACCUCUUCAUGGUGAACAUGUUCAAAUUUUGAAAAUUAUUGAGAGACAUCAUUGGUGACUUAGACACUAGGUUCACCAAAUAAUUUUGGAUAACAUUUUUAUUCAACCUAGGCGAGCAACUCAAUUUCUCCUGAAGGUUCUACAUGUAGAUAGAUGUCAUACAAAGUGCAAUGGUAUGUAAGAAGAAUAUCUAUAUUACUAAAUAAUGAUGAACUAGGGGAAUUUGGUGGAUCUUUUAUAUGCCAUGUAAUUUGUAUUUAGGUUGUAAUAUAUUUUACUCAUAGGUUAUUCCUUGUCUACUCUUUCAAUAGGGCAUCAAUCAUUGACUCUAAAAUAAUUAGAAAAAAAUAGGAUAUUUGCAUAUUAUCUAACUGCACAUUUGUUUGCUUGUUCAAACAUGAUAAAUUCACAUAGAAAAAGAGUUAAAAGUAUUGGUGUAGUUAACAAGGUGUAUGAAUAAGAGCAUGUGUCAAUAUUGAUGCAUAAUUAAAUUUAACACUAGUGACUGAAUUCUCAUGUGGUUAAACUAAGGUCUUUACAAGAAUGUCAAACAUAGGAAAUGACGUCAAAGACUAGUACUACGUUUUGACAUGUCAUUUGAUAUUGUGGCAUGGUUCAUUCAGCUAACCAACUAAUUCAAUCUCUGCUAACGAUUGGUGAUCCAUCUGGUGUUUCACAUCUCACUCUUGAAAUUAUAGAAGGUAGAUGAAAGAAUGUAGAGUGUAGUCAUCCUAAACAAGUAUUCUCAAUAGUAUGACCUCUUUUUUUCACAAUGGUAGAUGCAAUUUUUGGGAGUAAAGAAGAGAAUUGUGGGGGAUGAUAUGAUAAUAAUUACUCUGCAUACUUCUUUGUCAAAUGAUGAACACAUUCAAAAGAGAAUGUGAUGUGGAAAUGCAACAUCAAUCUUUGAAAAUUGCAAGGUCUUAUCAAUCAAUACCUUGAGAACAUGCUUCAACAAAGACUUUGGAUUCUAUAAGUAGAGAAGGUGUGAUGGCCCCACACCAAUAGCACAAGUACUGCACCAAUUAUUCAUGAUAUAUUUGACGUACAUAACACUCAAAUGUUGCAUGACAAGACUCAUCACAUACAGGACAAUGAUAUGAGACUUGCUAGUAUCAAAUAUGCCUGCAUAAACAUCAAAAUGUUAAUAAAGAGCCAUAAGUUUCAUGCAUAACAACCCAACAACCAUUGGAGUGGAGUAGGACAUCAAAAUAGGCGCCAAUAGUCCUACUAUGAUAGUAGGACAUUAUAACAUUAGCUAACAACUAAAUAAGACAUUGCGUGACUAACUUUGGGGGCCUAUACACUUCUUUGCGAGGGACAAACCUCAACAUAUGUGAAGACAGGUCAUUCUUUCCUGUCUUGUGCAUCUUUUUUUGUGAAGAAUGUUCAUCCCUUACGUGAGAUCCUCAUCACGAAGGAUGCCCAACGCUGGCGAUAACCAGAGAGCGCUCAAGUGACGACCAAUCCCAAGAAAUACCCAUCAUUAUCUAUUCAUAAUUCUUACACUUUGUGUAUUGAUAAAUAGAAAAAGUGCUACUUAUUUAUGAGAUCAUUAAUUCUUGGUGCAUAUUUGAUUUGAUAAUUAUUUUUAAUAAUCGUGUUCAAUAAAUUUAUGGAGUUGUGACCACUACCUUUUCAUGAUUAUCAACUUGCGGCGGCAGCUUUUAUUGUAUUAAAAGUCGCGUGGAAGGGAUGGGGGAUGCGGUCACCGCCGUGUGGAGGGCGGAGGACCGUUGUCUUGCUGGGCUGCUGUUAUUUUAUUCAGGCAUGUGUUCUCGGUCUCUAAUUUUUUUGUCAGCUUAAAAAUAAGAUGAGCCCUUCUAGAAAACCAGGCCUGGUCGGUCCUGUCAAGUGUGUCAACGAUCAUCAUAAGCGGGGAACCUCACUGUGGUCGUCAUCUGGGUUUCAUGGCAUCUGGCUCUCUGUUGUCGACGACCAGAUACUCGGGGGUCUGCUCAAUCCGUCCCGCGCCGCCGCGCUCGGGGGCGCCGCUGGCGUGCAGUGGCCUUUCGAAGGUCGAUUCUUGAGCAUACGCUUUCUCUGCUGCGGCGGCGAGCCCCGAUUCGUUCAUGAUUUCCGCCGAGGCUACCAUUGUUGUCUUCUUCCCUCCUCUGGGUCUUCUCCUCCUCGAGCCAUCUAAUCUUCGUGCGUAACGGGAUCUCGAUUGCUCAGAGCGAACCAUGCGACCAGAUGAUCGCCGUCUCUAUGUUUUGGUCCGUCCGGUUUUUUCUGUUUCACUAGAUUAUGUCGGGGGACGAUCGGGUUUCUACCGUUUGAAGCUUUUGCGAUGCAGUGUUACCACUUGUCUGAUUCACUCGGAAUUACUCGAUUUUAGCGUUUCCUGUCUGAUACGAACUACGAUGGCAUGAUGCAGAGAUCCUUUGGCCGCCCUCCGAGAAGGGUAUCUAUCUCUGUUCCUUCGAAUUUCCCAACUGUUCGCUGUGCAUCAAAAUCUUCCUCGAUUGAGACAAUGGCACCCCCCAACGAGCCGGAGUUCGCAUACGACGAACCAGUUGUUUCUGUUCACUGGUUAAAUGCGAAUCUUGGGGAGCCUGAUCUCAAGGUGCGUCCCCCCGAAUGAAAAGAAAAUUUUCUUGCUUUCAUUGAAGAGCCACUUAUGUCAUGCAUUUACUGUGUGCUAUCUCUUGCUGAACUAUGUGAUAGUCUUUCUAUGCUCAUUAGCUUUUCGGUUUCUGUGUGAUACUUGAAUAAGUUUGUGAUUAUUACUGUCAAAGCUGACACGCGAACCUGAAAAUUGAAGAGGACGAUACAAUGGAUUGUUCUUAAAAGUUUAAGAAAUCUUUCGAGGUUAGUGUGACUGCAGUAAAUUUUAAAUCAUUUUCUGCUGUAUAUUUUCCAGAGGUUGAUAUGUAUAAAGUUUGUAUCAAUCUCUGGUGCUUCAAAGCUGCCUCUGUGCCUUUAAACCUUAGCCUACACCAUGGCUGAUUCGGAUAUACAUAUUAAAUAUCAGACGGAGAAAUGUGUCAGAAACUGAAAAUUUUCUAGACAAAGGGACACGAAGGUGGGAUUGUUUAGUCGUCUAUUAACUAUAGUGCACAGUAAAUCCUGUGUCUUGACGCUUGAAGAAAUAGCUGAACCAGUGCUUCGAUUGUCCUGCAAUAGAUUAUUCAUAUGCAUUACAGUAUCAGUGCAUAGUCAAGAUUGUUAUCUGUAUCGUAUCAAAAAACUAUCUUCCACCACACUGGACUGUAUUGUAUCAUGUGGAAGUUAUGCUUGAAGGUUGGCAGGAAGAUAUUGUGAAUGGUUCUAAACUAUAGUUGGAAUGUACAUACCAGAAAGCUGGAGCUUUUUUGAAGCAAGUGAAAGAUUGACUUUGGGCGGUUUGUAUUGAUUGGAGAGCGAGCCCAGAAACAGGUUGGGGCCGUUGAUGGCAUCAAGGUUCACUUUUGUGGUUCGUCACCAACUUCAAACGAGUGCCUGCGCUAUAUUUUUUAUUCUCUCAUGGGUACUUCUGUGGAUUUGUACUUGUACAUGACUUGUAUGCUUUAUUCACAUCAGUAACGAAUCAUAUCAAUCACUCAUCGUCACCAACAUCUUCUAGCAAUAUCCAAUAAAAAAUUGCUGAAUAUUGUUUUAACAAAAGAAAGAUCCCAGUCAUCAAAUACAUUCAUGUCAGUUCAUUUCUACGAGAUCAUUUAAAGAAGUUGCUGAAACAAUGGCAUUCGGAUGACACAUAAUGUGUAAAAUGCUAAUUUUUCAUUGGCUGUUGCAUAAAUGGUGGUGAUAUAUCCUCCUGUACAUCCUGUAACAUCUGAAGGCAGUCUCAUUAGGAAUCGCUGUGCAUGUUCAGUUACUCAGAUUAUGCUGCCUCCCUCUGUAAAUUUCACUUGUAAUCAGUUAGUUGGUGCCACUUCAAUUGCGAUAUCACUUUCAUAGAAACCAUAUUGUGGUGACUUCUUAUGCUUCUAUCUUCCUUAUCCUAAAGCAUCAUGUGCAAUCUUUUUAUAAUACCUCAAAGAACAUAGGAUAUCAGAGAUUCAGCAACGUUUGACUUCUUCUUUUUAGCCAACUACUCCAUUGUUGUAGAAAAUUACUGAGUUGUGUUCAUUCAUCACUUAUGAUCAUUGGCUGACAGUAAAGGUUCAAAAUUCCAACUCUCUCUCCUCUUAUCAUCUAUCGUCAUAACAAUCUUUUUCCUUUUUCCUUUUUUCCCCAGGUCUUGGAUGCCUCAUGGUACAUGCCACAUGAGGAACGAAAUCCUCUCCAAGAAUUUCAGGUACCUCUUUAAUAAUAUUUUUAUUUAAUUUUUUAGUUUUUCUGACAUCUUGUUGGUGUUUUAUUUCAACAGUCCAUUUGUGAAAUGCAUACAAGUUUUAUGAUAAGGAAAUAAAAUUGGAUGUCAAGAUAAAUUGAGAAGCGUAUCAAGUUGUACAGUGGACAGUUUUUGAAGAAGCAUUAAGGUUUAACUAGUUUCUAGAAUAAUCAGCCAUUGUAAAUCAUAAAUAUGUUCAGGAACCAGGCUACUGAAAUAUUAUGAUGAUCAAAGCUGUUGUGAACAUAGCGUAUCUAAAUUAUGAAUUCUUAUAUUACAAGUAUAAGCUAGAGACAGGUAACUUCUAAUCACCUAUGAAGUGAAUGAAAUAGUCAUUGACGAGACUGCUAGCAUGAGUUUGAUGUUUUAACCCUUUUUUAGAGGCAAGGAUAGAAUAGCAGGCUAUGCAUAAAAUAUAAUAAGUAUCUAAAAGAAACUUGAGUCCAUAUAUAAGAGACCUAGAAACCCUAUAAUUCAAGGAUACAAAUAACAAGCUUAUAAUGUAGAUCCUGAAGGAACAUAGAAGAAUAUCUCUUCUUCUUUCCUCCAGUGGAGCAAUGAAUUCCUUGGAUAAUCCUGAGAUGGUUUUACGACCUUCACAAAAGAGUAUUUACAAUAGUGGAAGACUAUUGUCAUCUGUUGCACUGGAGUUGUCUCUAGCCACUGCCAAUGUGACUAGAUGAAAGUACGGGUUCAAAUGGGGGACUGUGCUUCAAUAGACAAGUGCUUUAAUGUAUUCACUACCCUUAAAGAGCCAUUUCAGAAGUUGGACAAACGUUAGUGGAGUUUCAUCUGGAAUUGGAGAGAUCCAUGCAAGAAAAAUACUCUUAUUUAGAUCUUUAUGAUAGAGUUGUCAAGAGUAUCAGGCUUCAAACGUUCCUUGGACUGGUCAUGUGUUUCAUUCAAGAGUUAGCGGAAGAAUUUCAAAUCAUCUGCCUGAGAGUUAUGAUAGAGUGCUGUUACUGUUAUGAGGAAUAUUUUUACGGUUUUAUUCUUUAUCUUUUGAAGAACUGUGGCAUUGAGUAAAAAUAGGUCAAAUUUUGACGUUUCAUGCCAUCUAUUUUAAUACUGAGAAAGGGGUGGCUACUCCACCUAUGCUGUUUGAGAACUCGUUCUUUGUUUCUAUAUUGAUGUCUCGUGUGCCAAAGAGAAAAGUUACUUGAUGACUUGCUCAGACUUCUCAGUGGCUCGCAUUACAUGGUCCCUCAACUGUUUGUCUUGAAUCGAUGUUUCCAGAAUGGCUUGUGAUUGCCUGUUUAAUUGAUUCAUUCGAAUGAAUAACAUUCAUGUUCAUUCUCUUUAUACUUUCCAGGUGUCUCACAUUCCUGGGGCCUUCUUCUUCGAUAUAGAUGCAAUAUCAGACAAGAACACUAAUGUGAGUUUUUUGCCUGUUUUUUUUCUCUUCCCCUUGUCAUCUUAAGUGGUUGUGAUUGUCAGAUCCUUAUAUUCACAACUUUAUUCUUCUGAGUCUUCCCAGUCGUUAAUUUUUUGCCAUUAUUGCAUAUUUUAUGUUUCUACCUAUAGUGUUUUUCUUCACUUUAGAUUGGGAUAGAAAUAAAACCUCAUAAAAAAUAUAAAAUGGAUGAUCAAGCAUAACAAGAAAAUGAAAGUUAGGAGAAGAAAUAAAAGCCAACCAAAGAAACAGCGCGAUCUAAAAUAAUACCUUUAUUUUUUUCUAGUAUAGUGCUAAGAUAGUGAAACAGAGCAAGAGAUCAAAUGUUUUUUCUUCGUUUAUCCCAUUAAAUAGAUUAGGACCAACUCGUCAUCAUCUCAAUUCCUUAGACCAGUUAGUCACUAUUGUAAAUGCCUGAAUUAUGUCUUCACAUUGUGUUCCACGUUCUUCCAAAUUGGACUACUAUCAGGAUGGGAUCAAUCCUCAAAUCAAUUGACCUAAAUUGGCCAUUCUCCUGAUAAUUCCCUGUCUAGUUUCUAGAAGGUUGGAUAUAUUAUCAAAUUUAAAACACUGUGGCUUCCCCAUUUUAAUGGAAUAUUGUAGGCUCAACAAUUGGGAAUAGUAAUAGGAUGUAGCUACCAGCAUUCAGUGAUAUAUGUGAUAAUGGCAUCCAAUGGUAGGGAAGUCCCUUCCCCCUCUCUCUCCCCUGUGGUUCUUACUAAAAUGGCAGAAGCUGAGGAAGAAUGUGCCUUAAAUCCCUCAGGGAGAUGGAAAGAAAAUUUUUAUUCUGAUGAAAAAAACAUUUCCAUUUGUGGUGUCUCUUUAAUUAAACAUAGUAGUUAUAGAUUCCCCAGCAAAGAGGAUCUGAAUGGAACACUUCCUAAGAAAUAAAAUUUUGGAGAUAAAAGGAAAUAAUUACGAAACCUAUGUAAAGAAAAUGUAUUUUGGAUUUCAUGAGCCUCCUUUACGACUCUACUUUGAUCGUCCACUUUUUACUCUUUAGGGCUUUCUCUCUACAUUCAUCUGCAUGAGGAAUGGCAAGAAACUUUAAAAGACCGUUUUAUCAGUAAUAUGCAUACUGAAAUAAGAUUAGCAGAUGCUUCGUUGAUCCUUUCUUCUUUUCGUUGUUCUUGACUCUUGUUUUGAACUCCCAAAAAUUUAGUCAGAUGUUGGUUAGUCUAUCUUAGUUUGCCAAUCUGCUAAAACGUGGCCAAUUUUGUAGUCUACAUGAUUGGUUUCAUCUGCUUUCAAACCUUUUUUCGUGCAUCUAGAUGAUUAUAGAAAAGAAGCAUCUUUCAUUCUCUAAAAUUCUUGUUUUUGAGCUCCUUUCGAAAUUCUAGCGAUGGAGAGGGUCAAUGGUUGUCACUUUACUUCUUUGUUGAUUUGAUCGGGCCCUUUUGUAGUCUACCCCCGAAUUUAACAUUAUCUUCAGUGAUUCAUGUGAUUUUCUCUUGUUUUGCAUCUUUCUGGUUUUUGCAUACUUUCAAAUAAUUUAAUUUAAUUUAAUUAUUAAUGUUCAUUUCUCUUGUACCAAAUUGAUUAAUGUUGUCUUUCAAUCAAGAAUUGACAGAGAGAAGUUUAAUAAAAUAUCUGUUAUUAUGUCAAUCUUGCUUUUAUUUUCAUUGCUUUUGGUGAUUGUGAUGUUUAAGUAUCUAUGAAUAAUAUGAACCAGUUGCCACACAUGCUGCCAUCAGAGGAAGCUUUUUCUGCUGCUGUUUCUGCUCUUGGAAUUCGUAAUAAUGACAGGGUGGUUGUUUAUGAUGGAAAGGGGAUUUUCAGUGCAGCUCGAGUUUGGUGGUGAGCUCCUUGGUUAUGUAAAAUUUGAUCAUAUUUUCCUUGUAUUUGCCCAUGCCUUCUGAUAUCCUCCAUGAUUUAGAUCGACAUAAUGAAAAAGGCAAUUAGCUCAUCAAUUCCUACUGGUAGUUCCAUUCUAAAUUCAGAGAUGAAUAUGAAAUGAAUGCAAAUGGAAGAAUUAUGGUGUACUUCAAUUGGGCUUAAGUUGGCAAAAACUGGUUGCACUUGUUUGGCAUCUUAACCUGUUAAAUGUUCCUUUUCAACUCUAUAUUCAAACAAAGGACCCAGUUCUCCCAACUAACUCAGUACUACUGAUUUUUGAGAACCAAAAUGAAGGAGAUAUACAGCUGAAAAAGGAAACAAAAUCGAGUUGGAGCCUUUGCCAUUAUUUUACAAUAAAACUUUCCCUUGGAUCUGUUGGACCCCCCAAUAAAUGUAAAUUACUAAGAGGAGUAAGGGGGUGUGAGGGUCACCUGAGGGUUCAGUGGGGGAUAUUUAGGUUAUUGUUAGGCAGGGGAGGGGAGGGGAGGUAUUAGGGCUGGUAAUGUGAAGAAGAAAGGGAGGGCCGCUUAGAGUUUCAGGCAGCGCCAUCACAAGAGAGUGUUGGCCCUCUCGAAAGGUUAGCAUGUGUGGGGGCUAGGAUUCUUCCUGGAAGCCAAUCUCCAUUUUCUUUUACUCUUGUUCUUCUAUUUCUAGCAGUUUCUUCAUCUCUGUUUUGGGUUCUUAUCAAACUGGUAUGAAAGCGAGGUUUGAUGAUGCCCAAGACCUAUGACAGACGAGCACCCAGAAAAUGAUAUAGAAGAUUUGAAAAGAAGCUGAGGCAUCUGCUAGGGAUAGAGGCAAAGUUAUGAAGGCUGCCCAAAAACGAAGCAGAUCUAAACAGAUUAAUAAUGUUAGAAAAAAACGCAGGAUAGUCUAAUCAACAGGAAGUGUGUGACCUUCUUGAAUAUAGAUCUUAUGAGCUAGUGUUUCGUAGUUUCACUCAUGCACCUGGUCAAGGGCUGGCAAAGUCUUCAAGCAAAUACCAGACUGCAACAUGACUGUUAAUUUUGAAUGUGAAUUCAUCCCAUUUGAAUUUUAAUUCAAAAAAGAUUUGUAGUUGAACAGUAUCAGUAUCAUAACCCUUAAAAACUGAUUCAUAUUUGUUCUAUACGGAGUGAUUCUCAAUAUUUUUAUUUUUUAUUUUUAUUUAUGACUCUUAUUUUUUUCCCAUAAUGAGGUCAUGCAGGCCUAGUGAUGAUCGAAAUUUCAUGUGUUGUAGGUAAGAAAAAAAAUCAUAUAGCAAUAUUCAAAAAAUAAACACUCUAGUGCCCAUUCAUUCUAACCACAAUAGUGGCCUUUUCUUCCAGAGAUUGCAAUAAGCGUACCUAGUAUAUUCUGCUUCAGGUUGAGCCAUCUCUGCAAUCGUGUGUUCUAGAAAAUAUUACUGCAUUUAUCAUUUGUUGGCUACUAUCGCAAAAUCGUUUAUUAAUUUAUAGUGAUUUAUAAAGGAUUUUUUAUUUUUUCAACUAUUAUUGAGUUCUUCUAAAUAAUUUUUCAUUUUUAUAAUAUAAAUUUAUUUAUGGGUUCUCGAAUUCAUUGAUAGUAUCUUUGCCAUUCUAAAUCAAUCUUCCAAUAUUUUCCAUCCAUGUUAUUGUGUUCAUAUCUGAAUAAUGCUGGCCAAAAAAUGGGGUGAUUUGUGCCGUUUUGAUUUCAAACAGACACCUCAUUUUGAUUGACCGGACAACUACAUAGAAGGUCUCUACAAGUCUAAAAAAUCAUUCUCAUUAUUUUAUUGGUAAUUGUCCGGUUGUACCCGAACAAUAAUAUUCCAGAGGGAAAUGCACCUAAGAUCAAAUAUUUCGAGCCAGCUCUCCAUCUAUCUUCUUGAUUUGGUUGAGUUUCACGCUUGCUGCUGAUUGAGUUUCGGGGGGCUGUGGUCAGGAAUUAGAGUCAACGCCUUUGUCGUCUAGUGACACCCACCCUCCGCCCAGUCCACUCUCCCCGCAUUGGUGAUGCUGUGCUCGGAUUGGCUAGAGUUCUCGCUGACUUGCACAGAGCUUGAGUCAUAUCCUCCGAUCCCUGUGGCCAUCAUCCGCCUUAAGCGUCCUGUUCAACUGUGCUACCGAACUAGUCUCAAGCCCGGCCAAAAAGAGAGAGUCAGCACCAAGAGUAGCCAUGCUUUUUUACAAUGCCUAGUGCCCGCCAUUCAUCUCUUCUUUAAAUCUUCUCUCUCCUGUGCUUUAAAGCUUCUCUCUAGGGUUGCUCUGUGCUCACUCCCCAUUUUAGGCUAUGAACGAGUCAUAUUUCAGACUUGAGCCAGCUUCUCUCUAGCAUGGAUGGCCUUGUGCUGCGGAGAUUGUCUACACGCUUCUGGACACUUGAUGACCAAAAAACUCUUCAUCUAUGGUCAGGAUGUUCCGAGCCUUUGGUCACAGCAAGGUUUGGGUUCUGGAUGGGGGCCUGCCCCUCUGGCUGGCUUCCGGAUAUGAUGCUCAGUCCAGCGCCUCAGGUGACGCCAUUCUGAAAAGCAGUGCUGCUGCAUCUGACGCAGUAGAAAAAGUUUACCAAGGCCUGUCGGUAUACCUCCAUCAAUUUUACGCAUUUUUUUUUUAUUGAUGUUUCUGAUUUAAGGUCGUCCCCAGUGAUCUAAGAAAUUCUUCAUCCCAUUUUAUAGAGAGAGGAGGCCGGUUCAAUAAUAAAUAUUCCCCUUUUUGUCAAUUCUGUAAGAGACAGUUCCUUUUGAGUCAACGUCACAUCACAUCUAGACGAUGCAACUGUCCUCUUUGAAUCGAGGAUAUAGCAAUUUCCUACGGAUAUAUUUAUCAGUCUAAGAAGUAGUAGACAAUAUAUACACCAUGAUAUUUUUAAUCAUUCUUUGAUGAAAAGAACCAUCCCAUCUUAAUUGGAAAAGGAAAUAUUUUUUCAGGGAAAAAAUCUAACAGGGUUGUAAGUUGAACAGCGUGGCCCAAAUGCAAUUUACUCGAUGCGAUUUUUUUUUUCUGCUUGCCUCAAAUGGCGUUGAGUUUGGAUAAACAUAUCCAGAAAUUUCAAUCAUCGAGCAGUCCUUACUGGUCAUGGCGUGUAGUGGCUCAUCCCAAUCCAUAAUUUCAAUUAAUAAGAUCAGUGGGGAAGGACUGGAAAGGAAAGAACUGAGGUUGGGUGGACAAGAAUCCUGAUUUCUUCAUUUCUUUUCUUUUAUUUUAUUUUCUUUUCUUUUCUUUCUGUCACAUCCAUUGGUGCAGAUCUAGGAUGAUGCAAGAUCCGAUAAUAGCAGAAUUUCUACUGUUAAUUAAUCACCUUGUAAAAUAUAUUUAUGCACGCAUCCAGCCAUCCGAUAGUUAUUAUAUAUACUAUAUAAACCACCCUCUUUUAAAAAAAAAAGUUUCCUUUUGUUUUUUUCUUUUUUGCAGGUCGGUCCCACAACAUUUGAAGCAAAACUGCAGCCUCAUUUGGUUUGGACACUGGAACAGGCAAGAUCACGGCCCCCCUUCCUUUUUGGUCAACACACCCUUUUUUUCAGAUUCUCAACGAAACCAGCAGACACCCACCUCUCCUACAUUGAAGAUAUAAAUGGAAAAUCCGAAAUGGGAAUAUUCAUAUUUAUGUGCACCAUGAAUCUAAUCAGACCAUGAAAUGAAGAGUUGGUCCUACUCUCUCUCUCUCUCNNNNNNNNNNNNNNNNNNNNCUCUCUCUCUCUCUCUCUCUCUCUCUCUCUCUCUCUCUCUCUCUCUCUCUCUCUCUCUCUCUCUCUCUCUUCACCCACCUUGGCCUCUAGGCAUGAACACCAGUGCUAAACCCUAAACCCUAAUUUUCACCCACCUUGUUAGAAUGCUUGAUCACUGGGCAUGAACAUCAGUGCUAAAUCCUAAACCCUAAACCCUAGUUUUUGCCCACCCUAGUCAUUCUAGCUUUCAUCAAUGUACUAGGUCAUUGGAUUUUGGGCUUUGGUUGCCGAGAUUAAGAAGGCUCCCGCAAGGGGCGAUGCCUAGGGUUUUUAUCAGUCUUGAAAGAGAGAUGGAAUGGGUGAUGCAGGGAGAUAUAUAUCCUAUGAAUUCUUCAGGCAAGGGUGAAGAGGACAAUGAAUUAUAAGCACAAUCAAUGAAAAAGCCGAUCUUGAAUGCGGAAUUUUCUCUUUAAAUUUAUUUUUACCCAUUUAUUUUUUAACCAAGUUCAUGCUGCGGAUCCCUCACCCUUUUUUUUUCUCCCCUCCCCCUCCCCCUCCUCCCACCCACCUUCAUCGCCUUCUGCUUCAGGUCCGGAAGAACAUCCAGGAGCAGAAGUACCAGCAGGUAGAUGCGCGGUCAAAGGGCAGGUUAGAAGAGAAUUUUCCGGCAUAUGAUCCCAGAAAUCUUAUAAAAUUGGCUCGAUGAUCUUGUUGUGAUCGCAGAUCUUUGAAAAAAAUACAAUUUUCGACAAUGGGUAGACUCUUUUUUUAAAAAAAAGUAUUUUUUGUUGAGAAAAAAUAAUUUAGUUGAGAACUGAUUCCAGGUUUGAUGGUGUGGCUCCGGAGCCUCGGAAAGGGAUCAGGAGCGGCCACAUCCCUGGAACCAAGUGCGUUCCUUUUGGAGAGGUAACGAUCAUCAACCGAACAUCAAGAAUAAAUAAAUGCUGAUUAAUUACUAAAAAUAUCAAGAAUUUUAAUUCGUUCUUUAAUUUUUUAUCUUUAUUUUUUAAAAUAUUUUUUGGCAGGUUCUGGGCAGCUCUCAGACGCUCCUGCCCCGGAGAGACCUGGCGAGAAGAUUCGAAGAGGAAGGUCUGAAGAAAUAAUAUCCUUCCUUGCCUUUUUUAUUUUCCACUAAGGAGAGGACCUCUCAACCGUUGACUUUUGGGCGUCGCAGGGAUCUCUCUCGACCGUCCGAUCGCGGCUUCCUGCGGGACCGGGGUCACGGCCUGCAUCCUCGCCUUGGUAAGAUGAUCUCCCAUUCCCAUGUUUUUGGAGAGAGGGGACGUCGUGGCAGGGAAGGAGGGUGGUGCUGGAUCGGGGAUGAUGAGGAGAUCUGACCUGCUGAUGGUCUGGUGGCUGCUGCUUCUGCCAGGGCUUGCAUCGGCUGGGGAUGGCCGACGUCCCCGUCUACGAUGGCUCGUGGACCGAGUGGGCGCUGACCCCCGGCGCUCCGGUCAGCCCGGCGUGAUGUCAGAGAGAGUCUUCUUGGUUGACUUUGCACGAAUAUUUCCUACUCGGAGAAAGUCAGAGCCUGGAUAGAUGGCGAGAGAGAGAGAGAGAGAUGGGUCCGGCAUCUUUUAAGUAAACAAAGUUGACUUCUUUUGAGCAUUUUGAGAUUUAUGCAUAUUGUGUGUGAGUGCAGUGCUUCGAGGAAAAAGUAUAGAUGAGUAUCUGUUCUGUUUGUAGCAAUGGAUGAGCCCACAAAAUGGAACUCCUAGCGAGAGAGAGAGAGAGAGAGAGAUUAUGGUCGGUGGAAGAGGCUGCUGAGACCCAGCUCUAGCUAGAGAGAGAGAGAGAGAGAGAGANNNNNNNNNNNNNNNNNNNNNNNNNNNNNNNNNNNNNNNNNNNNNNNNNNNNNNNNNNNNNNNNNNNNNNNNNNNNNNNNNNNNNNNNNNNNNNNNNNNNNNNNNNNNNNNNNNNNNNNNNNNNNNNNNNNNNNNNNNNNNNNNNNNNNNNNNNNNNNNNNNNNNNNNNNNNNNNNNNNNNNNNNNNNNNNNNNNNNNNNNNNNNNNNNNNNNNNNNNNNNNNNNNNNNNNNNNNNNNNNNNNNNNNNNNNNNNNNNNNNNNNNNNNNNNNNNNNNNNNNNNNNNNNGAGAGAGAGAGAGAGAGAGAGAGAGGAGAUGGUAGGUGGAAGAGGCUCCUGAGACCCGGUUCUAGAGCGAGAGGGAGAGAGAGAGGGAGGAGAUGAUGAUGGUACGAGAAAGAGGCUCCUGAGCGGCGGCGGCGGCGGCGGCGGCGAGGGGUGGUGCCAUGGCGGCGGCGGCGAGGAGCAGGGGAGGAAACGUCUUGUUCAGCCAGAACGUGAAGAUAACCCAGCUGGGCAAUUGCGGGAGGAUCGAGGAAGCCGCCGCCGUCUUCUCCUCCAUGCGCUGCCGCAACACGGUCUCCUUCAACGCCAUGAUCUCCGCCUUCGCCAAGAACAACCGCCUCGCCGCCGCCCGCCGCCUGUUCGACGAAAUGCCCGCCAGAAACCUCCUCUCCUGGAACUCCAUGCUCGCCGCCUACUGCCGCCAUGGGAGAGCCGUCGAAGCUCUGCAACUCUUCCAGAGAAUGCCCUCCAGGGACCCCUUCUCCUUCGCCCUCAUGAUCACCUGCUUCUCCAGGAAGGGGAUGAUGGACGAAGCAAAGAAGAUCUUCGACCAAACAAGCUGCAACUCCUCCGUCUGCUACAACGCCAUGAUUGCAGGGCUCGCAAAGAACGGGAGGUUCGGGGAGGCGAAGCUCCUGCUGACGGCGGCGCCGUCGCCGGACAUGAUCUCCUGGAACUCGGUGCUCGCAGGGUACACGCAGAGGGAGGAGAUGGCUGCCGCCGCGAGCUUCUUCUUCAAGGAGAUGCCGGAGAGGGACGCCGUCUCGUGGAAUCUGAUGGUCGACGGGUUCCUCCGCGGCGGCGACAUCGCAGCCGCCUGGGACUUUUUCCGGCGAACUCCUCGCCGGAGCGUCGUCUCCUGGGUGACGAUGGUAAGCGGGCUCGCGAGGGCCGGCAUGGUGGCGCAGGCGAGGGAGCUCUUCGACCAGAUGCCUGAGAAGAACGUCGUCGCCUGGAACGCCAUGAUCUCCGGCCAUGCUCAAGCUCAGCAGAUCCACGAAGCCCAGCAGCUCUUCUCCCAGAUGCCGCAGAGGAACGCCAUCUCCUGGACCGCCAUGAUCAGCGCCCUCGCCGGCGCCGGAAAGCUCGCCGAGGCUAGGGACCUGCUCCGGCGGAUGCCCUUCCGGCGGCAGACGGCGGCGCAGACGGCAGUGCUCUCUGGGUACGCCAGGAUUAUGGACAUGGAGCAAGCUCGGGAGCUUUUCGAGCAGAUGACCGAGAGGGACCUCGUCUCCUGGAACGCCAUGAUCGCAGGGUACGCCCGCUGCGGGAGAAUGGAGGAGGCCCUGCAACUCUUCCAGAGCAUGCCGGAUAAGGACGUCAUCUCCUUCAACACCAUGAUCGCCGGCUUCGCUCAGGCCGGGCAACCUGAGCAGGCGGCGGCGCUGUUCGAGCAGAUGGGCAACGAGAAGAACACCAUUUCAUGGAACUCGAUCAUCGCUGGGUUGACCCAGAACGGCCUCCACCAUGAGGCGCUGAGGAUGCUCAUCUCCAUGCUGCGCGCCGGCGAGAGGCCCGACGGGUCAACGCUCUCCUGCGCGCUCAGCGCCGGCGGCAACCUGGCGGCGCUUUUAGCCGGCGAGCAGCUCCAUGCCGUCGUCGUAAAGUUUGGCUUCUCCGGUGACGCCUCCGCCGGGAACGCGCUCAUCGCCAUGUACGGCAAGUGCGGAGAGAUUUCUGCGGCGGAGAGGACCUUCAGGGAGAUGCAGACCCCCGAUGUGAUCUCCUGCAACUCACUCAUCUCAGGGCUCGCCAUGAACGGCGGCGGGGCGGCGGCGCUGGAGCUCUUCCGGGAGAUGUCCGGAGAGCUGGAGAUCCCCCCCGACGAGGCCACCUUCGUGGGCGUCCUCUCCGCCUGCAACCACGCGGGACUGGUAGAAGAAGGCCUGCAAAUCUUCCGCUCCAUUGCGGGACCUUCUGUGGAGCACUUCGCCUGCGUGGUGGACCUCCUCGGAAGGGCAGGGAGAGUGGAGGAGGCGUACCAGCUGGUGAAGAAGACGAUGGCCGCCGGCAGCGAUGUCGCGGCGACGGCCGGCGUGUGGGGGGCGCUGCUAGCGGCGUGCCGGGUUCACCGCCGGAACACUAACCUGGCCGGCGUCGCCGCCGGGGAGCUGGCCGAGCUGGAGAAGAACUACUACGUGGGGCUGUCGAACGUUCAUGCAGAGGAGGGGAGGUGGGAGGAGGUGGAGAGAGUGAGGAGGACGAUGCGGGAGAAGAGGGUGAGGAAGGAGACAGGGUACAGCUGGAUUGAGGUCAACGGGGAGGUGCGGGCUUUCGCCGCAGGUGGCCCGGGACAGCACGGGGUGGGUCCAGCUUGGGGGGUGCUGGAGACGUUGACCGAGCAGAUCAGGUGGAUGACGGCUGCAACCGCGGCGGGCGAGUUGGCCUCUCCUACGGUUGACAAUCGAGUGAGCGACUUAUUUUAGGUCCUAGGAAAAAUGGGCUCUUGACUUCUCUGGUCACCCACCAGUGAAAGAGGCGUUGACCUGGCAGAGCAAGUUCGGCGGCCAAGUUGACUUCUCUCGUCACCACCAGUCAAGAGGUGGACUCUCUUGCCUGAGGACAAUAUAGAAGGCCCAGAUUAUAGGCUGCUGGAUCGUUGGCCGAGCAGAUCGGGAUCAGAUCACGGCCGCAGCCGAGUUGACUUCUUGCGAUUGGUGGUCAAUAUUCGUCCCGUUGACUCACAGAUGACAACAAGAGUCCAACCUCACGAGGAAAUCGAUUAACAUGAUGUCAUCAAACUUCUCAGAUAUUUCAUUGAUUGAGGUUUGUCUGUACAACGCCUACAUUGUGCCUCUGAUGAACAUCAGAGAGGCCAUCAACGAUUUCUUGAGCUAGAACAAAACAAAAACAAAAAAAACUAACUGAUUUAUUUUAAAAAUUACAAAGAAUUCUCAGUUUUUUUUUCUUCCGAAAACCCAUGUGGCCCAUGGAUCGUCCGCUGUGAAGAAAUUAACCCUUUUAUUUUUCUGCUCAUUUUCCACCUUCAAACUGGCUGCGCAGCUGCUCGUACUUCCUCAGCUCAGAGAUUGAGAGAGAGGGGCUCAGCUCGCCUAAAGCCUGAAACAAGACAGAGGGACUGAUGUUAUUAUAGCGCCGCCCCUCUACAUUAUUACUUCAGUUUAACUAACCCUUCUGAGUAAUUAUCCAUAAAUAAAGGAAUAUGAUAUUUUAAGAUAGAUGCAGUUCUCAUUAUUUCAGUUUAAACUCUUCAGUGAAAUUAACGAGAAAUAUCCGAAUCUGGUGUUUUAACGUAGAGAGCUCUCAAGUAGUUCAUCUUGAUCAUCUUGUGCAAUUAACCAGAAAUAUUAUGGGAAUGAAAUGUUUUUCUCAUUAUUUCAGUAUAAUAAUUCUGCUGCGCAGUUAUCCAGGAACAGCAGAAUGUGAUGCUUUAAUGCAGAUAUAGUUAUCAUGAUUUCAGUUCGAUCCUUCAUCGAAAUUAACCAAAAAAUAUAGGAAUGUGAUGUUUAAACCCAGAAAUAAUUUUCACAUGGGAAUCCGGAUAUUCUUCUCAUUAUUUCAGCCAGAUGAACAUAAAUAUUCGAAUUUCAUCGUUUAAUGAUGCUGAUAAAAUUCAUAUUUAUCUCGCUUCAAAUUCUGUACCUAACUGACCAGAAUACCAGAAUCUAAUCCAAAUGCAUAGUUUGGGAGAAAAUCAUAUCCAGGUACCUUCACAAAAUCGUCAAGCUCUACAACGACUGCAUUAGGAUCAUCAAUCACAUCACCAUCGAAAUCAGAAAGCUGGGGAGACACCUGAAGAACAACCCACAAAAAAAUAUUUUAUUAAAAAAGUAAAAAUGAGAAAUCUUUCGACCACAGAAUGCAAGGAUAAGGAGAUAUUGAUGAAUAUUUCACAUUUUAAGACCGCAAGAAAUGAUCAACUAGAAUGAGCAGGAAGCAUAAGCACAGUUUUCCCCACUGUGUGGACAUUAGAAAAAAAUUAUAGUUUAUUCAUUUCCAACACGGAAAAGAAAAAUUUCUGAUCCGCAUGUUGUUUAAACAGAGCCCACAUCAUGAAUCAUCAAAAUCGCAGAGGCAUAAGAUAUGAUGAACAAAAAUUAUUUUCUAUUCAUGACACACGACGAUUUAUUAAAAUUAUCUUCAUCGCACACUGUAAAAAUCCAAGUGAACUAAACACCAUAGUUAAGAGGUUUUGAGAAGCCGUUAUCAUUUUUAAUUAAAUAAAUCGCAUGUUUAACAUUUCCUUCGUUAGUUAUUGUACACGUUGGGAAUGAAUAACAACCUAUAAUUUAUUUAUUUCGAGCAUGAACAAAAAAUAUUGAUCAUAACCAAUAAAUAUGAAUAAUUUAUUUACAUAGUAAAUGGAAAUUUAUGAAAUCCCCCGUUUUGCCUGGCUCCCACGCUGGAAGAAGGAAAAAUUUCUAUUGAACAGCAUAGAGAUCACCUUGCGUUUUGCAGCAUGAAACCAAGCAUCGGUACACAACGCAUACAUAUCUGCACCGGUGAAAUUGGGUGGGCAUCUCUUUGCGAUUGAAGACAGAGAAACAUUCUUAUGCAGUUUAAAUUUUCUGGUAAGCGACGCAAGAACCCUGAAAAAUAUUUUUAAAAAAAUUAUUCAGCGCACCACAAUUUUGAAAAAGAGACCAACAAUGGGAUCAUUCCCCUGCCCGCAGCUUACCUCUCCUUCUUGGAUGCUUCAGUGUUGACUCCAACAUACAACAACUUAUCAAACCUGCCUGGACGAAGCAGCGCUGGAUCAAUGAGGUCAGGCCUGUUGCUCGCCCCAAUGAUGAACAGAUCCUGCAAGGGAGAAAAAAUCACUAAUUUUCAUUUUAUUAAUCAGGGUAUAUAAAAACUCUGAUGAAAAGAUCUGAUCUUGCCAGAACUCAGCAGCAAGUCACGCAUGGAAAAAAGGAAUCAAGAGAGGACCUGUUUGGAGUCGCUGAGGCCAUCAAUCUCCGCAAGCAUCUGCGCAGAAGAAAUAUAAAAUGCCAGGCAAAAUUUCAUUCACUUAGCCAUGAAAUCAGCGUAGGAAAUGAAAUAAAAAUCAUGGCAUUUCUGUCUGCGAGGCUGGAGCUGGAGCCCAGCUCCCUCUACCAGAUGGGCUAAGCAUUCCUUCCUUCCUCUCCCAUGGCCCACAAGCAGGGGACGCUAUUUACCUGAGAAACCACCCUGUCCAUGACACCGCCGGAAUCGCCGGACGCCCCUCGAGCUGGAGCGAGGGAGUCGAGCUCAUCGAAGAAGAUGACACAAGGCCGGGCUGACCUGGCCUUUAACAGAGGCAAGCACUCACAGUCAUUAUCUCAGCAUAUCCAUGGUUUUAGAGCAUCCAGAGGCCAAGAAGAAGCUAUACCUUCUCAAAUAUGUCGCGCACAUUUUUCUCUGAUUCUCCAAUGUACAUGUUGAUCAGUUCAGGACCCUUCACGCUCAGAAAAUUCAAGGAGCACUCUGUCGCCACAGCCUUUGCCAGCAAUGUCUGAGCAUGAUGGCAGAUGGGCAUCGAUCACUUUGCCGGAUUCAAGGCAACGCAAAUAAAUAUUUAAAUAAAAGUUAUUAUUAUUAUUAUUUAAAAAAUAGCUUUUAAAAGCUUAGAGAUAGGUGUACUUGCCUUCCCUGUCCCAGGAGGACCAUAGAGAAGAACACCUGAACGCUUGCGGAGCCCAGAUGAGAAUAACUCCUUGUGAAGAAGCGGCAGCUGGAGGAAAAAAAAAAUAAAAAAUCAAAAUCACAGGCUCUUAGAUCAAUCAGGAACAGCGGCUUCCAUCUUGAAUGCCAGGCGUUUACCCAUUAAUGUACGGGGGUAAUCCUAAAAAUGAAGAACCCAAAAGAGACUGACGAUUCCAUGAGGAAAAGCAACAAGCAUGAGCAUGAAAGAUGAAGAGAAUCUCGUCUAGGUAGAGAACAUGGGCACCCCACCUGGACGGUGUCCAGAAUGGAUCUCUUUACUUCUUCAAGCCCACCAACAUCCUCCCACUUCACAUUUGGAACCUGUAUGACAAGUAAAAUGAGCCUCCAGAGAACAUCAAGUGGUUUAAAGACGACAAAAGAAACCGCAAUAACUUCUUGGCUGAUGAAAGAUGAAUUUCGUCUAGGUGGGAUAAUCCGACUAUUAAAUGAAUAAUUACGAAGAUAGCUACACAAAACAACCAGAAAAAUUUCGAUUUCUCAUCGAAAAACUGAAUCGGGUUUCUGAGGAAUCCACUCCCGUUUUUAAAGAUGAUGAAGAGUUUCUCACUUUAGGGGUGCCGAGCGCCGAUGCAUUUCGCUUCUUUGAUCGCUCUAAGGCUUUAGACAAGUCCUUGCAGAGGUCAGCGGCUCCAUAUCCUCCAGAAAUUUCAUCGCUAGCAAGGGGACUGAUAACUCUGCUGCCAUUACAGCUCUCUGCUCCAGAUGCAUCUGCGGAGCUUGAGAGUCUAGAAACAAACAUGGCCCCGGCAUCGGCGACCAAGGCACGGAUGUCCCGCGGCAUGAAGCCUGAUGUCUGUCCAAUGAUGUCCUUUAGAAGCUCCGGACCAAGACCCUGGAUGGAAAAAAANAAAAAAAAAAACCCAAGAAACACCAGAUGAAGCAGUCCAGCAAGAAGAAGUUGGAGCAACCAGUCCACAUGUCUGGAAGGUCACAGAAGAUUAUGUUCAUGUGCAUACAUGACUCUGGCCAUUGGAGACACCUUCAAUCGACUGCAAAAGCAUGUCCCCUCUCUGCGCUUCAGAGAGCGGGUUCAUGGUCAACUCAUGGCUGAAGCAGCGCCGGAUGGAUGGCUGCAGGCCAUCAGAGUUGCUGGCAGCAGCCACUAAGAGAACGCGGUGCCUGUUCGUCUGACCAUCGUGAGAUGUACCCGUUUAGUUGAAGAACAUAAAAUUAAAAAAAUAAAAAAUGAGAAGAUGCAAGAAAUCUGGAUAAGAAAAAAUGACUGCGGCAGCUUACGAGACCGUCUUUCGAUGCAUGCCCGGGAGGUCCGGUCUGUUCCUCAGGGAGCGGCUCGGUGAACUCCCUCACAACAGCAGCAAUUUCCAACACAGCCCCAACUUGAUCAGAUGGCGAACCAUCAUUCGACUGCAACUUUCCGAACACCUCAAAAUUGCGCAGAAGAAGUAUAGAAGGAGCGUAUCUGCCGUCGGCGCAACGGUUUGGCACCAUAGAACGCCAAAAUGAGGAAGAACAAGCGAUUUAGUAAAAGUGGUUCGCAACUGCAGGCAGUAUUGAAAGGUCAGAGCGUGGAAGCACAAAACUGGAACUACGCCGCCAAAACAGUUUAUGGGUUGCUGCCACUGAGAGGUUCUUGGGGGCCUAGAACAGCAGCUAAAAUCCAGAGGGGGAGCCUCAAUCUUCAGACCCGAAUACAAAGGCAUGUAAUUUAGGAAGGAAAUCGAUUGAGUGGAUAAUAAUUUCAAGGCAGAAUCCUCAUAAUUCUGGCCCCUGAUUAAGAAACAACCCUGAUCGUCACAAAUCUAUGAGUGUUAUUAAAUCAAUCAAACAAGAAAUGACUGAAACUUUGCAAUUCUUGGUUUUUAGAAAGGCAGCCAGGUCCGAAUAAUUUGACCAAAAUAUUAUCGAUCAACGAGGUAAUGGAGCACAGAAUAUAGGUCAAUGCAAGAAAGGUUGCAACCAUUGAGAUAUUCUCUCGUGAAAUAAAAAAAUAAAAAAUAAAGUUUUCAAAACUUCACAAAAAUUGGCGAUAUAAUGAUAUUUUGGCGUAUCCACUGAAAUUUCACAGAAAAUUGCACUGGGCUACAGUGCAGUCAUUAUGAAAAUAAGAGAUAGAACAUGAAAAUAGAUUAAUCAUGUUCAGAAACGAGAAUGGAAGCAGAAAAAUGGGGCCACAAGAAGAAGGCAAGCCCGACUUUGGAAAAUACCUCUGAGCAGUACUGAAGGCGUGUGCAAGCGCCAUGGACGCCUUCUUCUCUGAGCCGGACAUCAGAUCAUGGCAGCUAUACUCCACCAGAUGCAGCCCAAGGCACUGCGCAACAUACCGGACGACAGUCCUCUUCCCACACUCUGCAAGGAGACAUUUUUUUCAGGGACUCCCCUCAGUGACCCUCCCAGUGAAGGCCCGAAAAGGAAAGGAAGAAGCAGCCAGCUGACACAAGAAUGCGCAGCCACCGCUGCCAAAAAGCCUUCAAGGGUGCCGUGCCUCACCAGCAGGGCCAAACAGAAGCAGCGCCACUCUCAGCUUCGACGAGAGCCCGGAUGGGCACAAGGCGGGCGCAAGGAUGGCGCCCAUGCCCCUCACUGCGUCCAUCUGCAGAGGGACUGGGCCACCGAUCCCGCCCACCAGAGAACCAGGAGGAACAGGAGAGGGCGUGUGCCCUCCGAGCACAAGAGCCGUGUUGGUGCAGCUGGCGCGAAGAAUGUGAUCCUCCGUCGGCUCCAUGGCCGCAACCUGAAGAAAGAAGGAAAGAAAGAGGUAGAAACAGGUUCUAUACUCGAUCUGUGAACUCUUCUUCAAGUCAAAGGGGAUCAGAGGCAAAGUCAAAAGCGGCCCAGAAAGUCAAAACCUUGAAGUACCAGCAUGAGCAUCAAGAACAGCACCAGCCCAUGGAACCGCAUACCUUGAAGUAGAUCAGAUCAGCAGCAGCGGGUCGCCUCCGGCGCCUGCGGCGGCAAGCAACGCACAGCUCCGAGCGGCAGCUCCAGUUCAGAUGCACGCCGAAGACGUCGCCCCUUGCGAGGAACCUGUCGGCUCUGAAAUAAUCGCUCAGAGACGAGUCGAUCAGCUUCUGGCGAUCUUCUGCUUCUGUCGGCGAGCUUCCGCGCAGGGGCUCCAGCAGGCUGCACUCCGGGACCCUCACGAAGGAUAUCCUCAGAUGUGAGGCGUAGCUGGGCACCUGAGACAGGGGCGAGAGCUCUACGAAGACGGCGGCUCUCCUGUCCGACGCACCGCCUUCGGGACUGAACAGGGGCUCCAGGCCGUCCUUGCCGCCUUGCAGGAGGACGUCGAAGGCCGACCCGUGGAGCCCGAUGUUGAAGGCUAAGAGCGGAGAGACGUAGGCGACGUCCCCGUCGCCAUGGGGAUGCUGCUGCAGCGGGAAGAUCCCCAUCGCAAGAGACGGAGGGGAAGGCGAUUGAGCUGGAGAUGGCGCCCGGAUCGCCGCGCGCCCCUCGUCGGGCUGGCCCAGAGCGAGAAUUCUCGCGACCCUCGCCACCUUCGUCGAUGCAUUCUUGAUCAGAACCUGGAAAAUGGAUGGGAAGAUUGAAGGUGGGUGAGGAAUUCCGCCGGGAUUGGCAUCAGAUUCUUCGCCCAGUUCGAAUUCUAUGUUCUAUCCUGUGGGCUGCCGAAAACUGUAAAACCCAGAGGAGAUUGUGGCCUGGGAGAUGGCUAAUCCAGGGCGGCAAGUCUCCUCCCAGCCCGAAAUCUGGUGCUCCCGUGGUGCCAGAGCUCCAAGAUCAGCUUUCAUGGCGAAGAUGAGGAAUACGAACAUCUGCAUCUGUGGGGUGGGGGGAGGGGGGGAGAUGAAGAAGGUUGGAGGCUCUUACCAGAGACCCCGAGGUCAGAGAGAGACUCUUCAGGGCCGAAGCGGAGACGCCCACCUCGUCAGCCAACACCUCCGGCUCCCCCUCUGCGCCGCCGCCCCGCCGGAGGAUCCCCGCCCGCAGCCGGAGGCCCUCCGGCGGCGGAGCCCUCUGGGCCGGCAGCAGAGCAGCGCCUUCCCCAGUCUCGGCGCCGCCGCCGCCCUCUCCGUCUGCCUUCACCGGGCUGAGCACGGAGUCGAGGAGGGCCCUGGUGGACCACAGCACCAGGGGCUCCCUCCUCCCCACCACACCCAUCUGUCUCCCGAACCAGGUGCAACAGAGUUCGAGUUAGAGAGCGCGCGCGAGCGCGAGAGAGAGGAGAGAGAAAACAGAGAGAGAGAGAGAGAAGAUUUUAGCGGCAAUCGAAUUGCAGGGUGGGUCAUCGUCUUCCUACCUGCGACCGAGCAGCUCCCUUCUUCACAACUCGUUGCGUUUUCUGGUGAUCCCUCGAAUAUAUUUGCCCUAUCUCAUCGAUGAUCACACCAACUCAGCGAGCUCCCUCAUCGAAUUCCCCAAGAAAUAGGUUCUACGACAGCAGAUGGCUCCAAUUUGAUAAAUAAAAGAGCAGAGUUCAUUCUUGGAUCCAAUCCGGGCGUGUAUAACGAUUUCAGAAUAAUCCCCGACGGGCUUCAUGGGAUCAGAAUGAAUCGAGAAUAUCGAUCAUCAGUUUGGUAAUAACUGAUCGCAAAUUAAUGAAAUGAUCAAGCUUGUCGAUAAACCCGAUGAACUCGGCUCAACUUUUUUCAGAAACUAAAAAUUUAAUUGAGCGAUUCAUGGUGAUAUGAAAUCACAACUCUAGGCCAGAUUCGGGGCCGAAUUAGAUUGGACUGACCAGAUCAACAGAGUUCGUAUGGACCAGCUCAGAUCGAGUAAGAAUCUCCGUUCCGAAGAUCAAGAUUGACCGGGUGACCUGAUCAACAACAGCUGCAGAUGCUCCGCAAAAGACUUCCUGAUUAGGUCCACGGGAUGUGAUCAGCCACUGCUGAUCGUCGUCUGGGUUGACCGAUCCUACUUGAAUACCAUCAAUUCCCUCUCUCUCUCUCUCUCUCUCUCUCUCUCUCUCUCUCUCUCUNNNNNNNNNNNNNNNNNNNNCCUCCUCUCUCUCUCUCUCUCUCUCUCUCUCUCUCUCUCUCUCUAAUUCAGUGGCUCACACUGCCAAGCCCACUACAGCAGAGAAGAAGUCGAGUUCAUUCAUUUCCAAGGCAAGAUUGCUCAACGCAGGAAGAAGGAGCCGGGCAGGGGACGUCCCCGCCAGUCGUUCGGGAGAGUGGUAUGCUACAUCUGCGCGAAGAACGACGGAGAUAUCAUUCUCCGCAGGGCGUCAUGAUCUCUUGUCGAACUUUCUCUCACUAGACUUCUCCAUGGCUUCUCUCCGCUUCUGCUGCCUGCAAGUCGCAUUAGUUCGAUCGGUAUAUGAACAUUCGCCCAAGUUUGCAGAAGAUAAAGAGGAGAGAGAGAGAGAGAGAGAUUGAGAUAAAUAGAUAGAUAGAUAGAUAGAGAGAGAGAGAGAGAGAAGCUUACGCAAAAGCAGUAUAUCCACCACCGGCGCUUGUGGUUUGUAACAUGGCUGCAUGGACGCCAGCAGCGUCGAGCCCGGCGGAGGAGGGAUUUCUGAGAUCAGAAUCAACCUGGAACAAGCAAAUGAUGCAGAAACGCCAUUAAAUCCGCCUGGUUCGGAAACCUGCAAGGGAAAACGAGAGGAGAAGGAGAACCAUCCACCCUGUGAGGAGAGGAGCAGACCUUGUCCCACUUGCUCUUCUUGCUCUGCCUGCCAUCUCUCGGGGGAGCCUCAGCAGCGGCGGCAGCAGCCGACGCCAGGGCCCCAGUGGCGGCAGCAGCGGCGGCGGCGGCAGCAGCAGCAGCGGCGGCAGCUGGAACACAAGGGAAACGACGGAUGGGUGAGAAGGGAAGCCCAAGGCCGGUUGAGAAUGGACCCAUUGAUGGCCGAUGAAGAAGAUAAGACAUGGGGAGGGGGCCCAUUACGAGGUAACUGUGCGCUGACUUUUGGUGCGGGGAUGGCCAUGGCGGGCUGGGUGCCCCCAGGAACAAAGUCAACCUUCGGGCUUCUCUUCCUCUCCUGCUCCCUUCUCUCAAUUUCCCGCUUCAUAUCAGCCUCUAUCAAAGCACAAACGAAGGUCAACGGGGCAUAAGUGGAAAGUCAAGUCCACGCAGCAGUCAGUAUUCUCCAAUUAUUGACCAGCACUGGCACUCCACCCGGGGCAGAAUAAACAACCAGAACAUGCGACCUAAUUUCAGAAAACGCCGACAAACUUUAAACAGCCAGCCAUGUAACAGCAUGCGGAGUCGAUCAAAAGUCAACGGAGAAAACCCGGAUGACUGAUUUGCGCAUGGAUUUGACUCGCUCCUGAAAAGCCGGGAUGAACUGCUGAGCUAUGGGUGGAGCAAGCUCAUAUAUUUCAACCGUUCCUUUUAUGGGGGCGAAGAAAAAACCCAAAAAAUAUUAAAAAAAAAGAGUCCAGCACAAGGCACACAGGAGUGAUGGCGAUUUUUCCAGGGCAAGAAUCGAUUCAGCAGUCUCACAUUAUUCAAGUAAAAAUCAUACAAAAAACAAAAUAAACAAGGAAUCCGGGGAAACAGAAGAAAAUUAAUGCAUAAAAUAACAGAAAUGGGCAGAAAUUAAACUUUAAAGGAGCUGAAAGUGACCUAUUGCAUCAUAGAAGUCGCUUUUGUCAUACCCAUGGGGGUCAAAGACAUCUCUGCUGAAGCAAGAACCCAUCUGAUCGAUCUCUUGAUAUGUCACAGCGUGUUGCAAGAAGUCAGGGUUCCUGUAGUCCUUCCUGUUCCGCAGGUCGGCAUUGAAACUCUUUCCAACCCUCUUGUAAGCAAGGAACUUGUUUAUCUUCUCCUAAGAUUUUUAUAAAAAAAAUUGGUAAAAGGGGAAAAGAUAUUAUAAAUUGCGAAAGUUAAAUCAAGGAAAUGAGACCAUACACUGUCUUUCCUCUAACAUUAUUAUUUUGACUAUACAGAACAAAGAUAAAUAACAAGCGGCGUAAAUAGCUGAAAUUAUAUGCGUGUUAAAUGAUCAAAAAAUAGCAGCACGUGAAUCAGCGCCGAUACCAUCAUUAUGUAACAAUGCAAUAGAGACUUGAUAUGUUCAUGAAGCUAUAUUUUUAUUGCCAGAAAAAAUGGAACUGUAAAUAAAUGAAGCAUCCAUACAGCCUCCAUUAGAUUCUAAGAAAAGCAAAUGCUCAUAAUUCAUGGUCCUACGUUUUGUUUAUGUUUAAUAAAUGCCUUCGGCAUCCUGAUUUUUUUUUCUUGUUUGAAGAUGAUUUUAUACUACGGUUAGUGAAAAAUACUUUCAGACCCAUUUUUCUAGGAUUCCAACAUAUUCCCAUGAAUCACACAUCCCUCUCUUCAUUGUUGACUUUUGUGAUUGUAGAGUGUUCCUUUGUUAUUCCUUCUCUAUCAUUCGACUGUUUAGAUUAUAUUCCAUCUUUUGGCAUAAUGGGCAUCAGAAAAUUCUCCUAUUAAUUGAAACUGACGAUCAGAAUCUCCCCUGAAAUACUGCAGGAUCUCCUCAAGAGGGCAUAUCAUAUAAUCAGCCAGAGCAGAAAAAAAUGGCCAAUUCUGAUCAGCCCAGUGCCUUAAGAAGGAAAACUUGAACCAGACAAAGAUCUUACAUUAAUACUUAGUCAUCGCCGUGAAGUCUCUAAAUCUAUUUGUGGUUAGCAGAAGGCCCUUUUGUGGAGUCAUAGAUAUAAAUAUAUAUCUCUCUGUGGGAAAGGAAAUAUUGGAAGGUAGGUGCAAGUCACCAGUUUCUACUGGUAGCCAGUAGAAAUCUGCAUCACGGCAUAAAAAAGAGACUAAAAGAUCAUACAAAAUGGGAAAAAGGACAAAUGUCACAUACAAGAGAAAGGAAAUAAGUAAUUGAACAUGGAGAUAAAUAUAAAUAUCAGGAACUUUAUUUUGAAAGCAAAAUCAUAAAAAAAUAUUAAAAAAGGAACACAGUUUGAUAAAAUAGAUCAAAGUUACAACAUGCCAAGGAUCAUUAGUCAACUUUUCAAGUCAAUCCAUUGAAAAGGAUAGCGACUAUAGAUGCCUUUAGCCUGUCCGAUGUACGACCAAACAAUCACAAUCCUCACUUCAUUAUCAUUAUUUGCCUGGCCAUCUGGUACCAAUAUCCAAAUUUAUCUCGUUACUAAGUUCCUAAUAAAAAGGAAAAAAUUUUGGCAUUCACAUAAUGUUUUAAAGCUCAAUGUCAGUACUCUAAAUCACAACCUGAUAUUGUCCGAAAUUUUUAGUCUGAACCACGUGGUCCACCAUAUUUAUGUUCUUAGAAGUGGUGUGUGGUUUAAUGUUGUAUGAAGAAAAUUUUUUUUAUAUCUGAUAUGAUUUUGGGAGAUAGCAACGUGACAUCUACAUAAGUAUAUCCCAUAAAUUAAUCAAUACCCUUCUAUUUCCUUCAUCGGCAUAAGUGGAAAAAAACGAUACUAAAUUUGCUGACUUAAAUCAUAAACUUAAGGAGAAGAAUAUCAGAAAAACAUUAGCUGUCCUUUUAAUCCACGCUACAGGAUACUCGAUCACAAUAAGUAUUUCAUGUGAUAUUACCAGAACUAAAUCAGUUGAGUUAGGAAGAAGAAAAACCUGCAGCUCUUCAGAACACUUCACAGCAACAGGCAAAGGAAGGAAGUUGCGCAAUGGGUCAUGCUCUAGUUGAGCUGGUGCGGCCAUAACAACAUCCAUUUCAACUGGAAGAUUUUCUUGGUCCGCCUGUAAGGUAUCUACUGGUGUAUUUGUCUCUGCAGGUUGUUCUACAUGUCGUGAAGGAGAUAGCUGAGCGUUUGUGGUCACUGCCUGGUUUGAUGACGGCGAGAAUCUUUCUUCGAUAUGAUCUGUUAGUCAACAUCAAGCAGUUCAAUGGUAAUAACGUGAUAAAAUCAUGGUUCAAGUUAAACAGAAUUUUUUCACAAAUGCUAUCUCUAUUAAGACAUAAAAUAGAGACACAACUAGAAAGAGGUCAGCUUAGUCCAGAUGCAUUAGACAUGUACUUACUAUAGCUCAAAUGGUAUGCUGAUAAACAAUAAAAAUAAAAAGUAGGAAGAACUGAGUAAAUUCCUUGAAAAAGGACAACGAAAAAGCGCACUGUAAGUAGCCACAUUACAAAGUGUAGUUAAAGUAAUAACCAAAAAUCAAUCCAUGAUCAAGAAUUUUUCCCUCACCUUCAAAUUUAAUCUUGCAAUAAAACACCAAUCCGUAAUCAGCAAACGAAAAGAAAAUCAGAGAAAAAAUUAAAAAAAAAGAAAUAUCAAUGUGAUUGAUUCGGGCAUUCCCCAAAACUGACGAAAAUGGAAACUGGGAAAUGUAGCUAAGUCUCAACAUAGAAAGUGUGGUUUGGGGGGUCGGCAAUCCAGUGGUCUGGUUCUCCUGAAUAGCUCAAAGGAAAGGUUGUCUCUGCCAGGGCCAUGGAGAGAUAAACCUCCAACUUAUUCUCAUGAGAACUACUUCCUCAUCGAUUUAGAAAAUGGUAAAAUACUUCUUCCCAAAAUGGACUUACUUUGAAAUAGCUGCCAGACCAGUUCAUCCCCUGAAAGCUGCCAAUGGCAUCAAACAACUAGUGUUUUUGCCCUCCAAUCAAAAAUCAAUAUAGCUCAUAUUCUCGCCCUGCUGUCCACUAUGGCACACUGGAUGGUUCAUAACCAGGGAAUUAUCACUAUCUGUUUUUCCCGAUUUUCAUUAGCUUCCAUAGAGAUGCACUUUGGGCUCACAAGAAUUUCUGCUAUCAGCAGAACUGGAAAUUUACACAUUGGAUAUUAUCUUCCAAACGUGGGUGCAUGAGUAUCAUUAGCAAAUAAUCCGCAUAUUCAAAAAUCACGAAAAAAAAUUGAUGACAAGCCAUUUGGGCCAUGAGAAUCUAGAUGAUCUCACUUGCCCGUAGUCAUAAUAUGAGCCGAGAUAGAGGCAAGAUGUUGCUUCUCAUGUAAAUUCUUCAUUCUGGGCACGGUCCAAACAAAUGAGCAGAGAUUACUCGAAAUUAUAUCCACUCUCAGACAUUGUUCAAUUCAUUGAAACAGAUAUCUUCCAAGAUAUGCCGACCUGUUGAUUUUUUAAUAAAAUAAUGAUUUAAUUAAAGAAAUUUCAGCGAUAGCUCCCAUAUUUCUUUCUUACACAGUAGCUGAUCAUGAAAACUAUACUGCCAAGGAACAUCUAAGAAAAACAACACCACUUAGCAUAGGCCGGCCAAUCAAGGGGUUGUGUUUCGGUCGAUUCGAUUCCUAAGCCUCCACAUUUCCUGGAACCCAAUACUACAAGUUACCGAACGAUUUGAUUCCUAGGAUGAAGAUUCAUGCAAGGCCUGCAUCAAUACGCUACAUUUCUUUGAGGAUAAAGGAAAAGAAUUAUUGUGAAGGAGCGUUCACACAUGUUAGUAGGCCUACAAAUAAAAUGCAGCGACAACAUCCCAGAGAAAUACAGGUACAGUUGAUAGUUUUCUCCAGGUAGCAGGAGAUGGCCAAACUAUAUCUCUACAAACAAUCUUAGCUGCGAGUAUUGAGCAGUUGACAGAGUCCAUACCAAUUGAAGCACGAAACUCAGCUCCAAAGACUACGCGUCCCCCGCUGUGAGCUUCGCCCUCCUACGAGAGUUUCAUGAAGCAGAAUGAUAAGAAGACAGACAGGGGCGGAGGGAGAUCUUGAGAAACACAUCGCUAGGUAGAAAAAACUGAAGUGAUGGCACCUCCGGAAAGACCCCAGCGACGAGAUUUACGGUACCACGCAGAAACUACUGUGUGCUCCAUGGCAGACAAGAAGCGCAAUUACCUCGUUAUCAGGGGACAUUGCCGUCUCGUCAUGAGCGUAAUCCACAAUGGUGAGGGAUCUCUUACUGCUUCUCCGAACUGCCACAGCGUCGGAUAUCGAACCCUGAGGCGCGGGGUUCUGAGAAGCCACGGUGGGUGGCGGAGCCUGGAGCUUCCACGGGGGCGUACGCGUGGGCGUGGGGAGCCCGGGGCUCGCUAGGGUUUUUCGCUCCGAAUCCUCCUCUUGGAGGGAUGGAGUUCCAGACUGGGGAACCGGAGGGGUCUUCUCCGAUCCAGAAUCAGGCCCCAGUGCUGCACCAUCUUCGGGGACCUUCAGGUCGCCUUCUCCCCCGUACCCAGCCUUCUCUUCUCCUCCGAUUCCUGCUUCCUCCUCCCCUUCUCCCUCUCCCUCUCCCUCUCCUUCCUCCUCCUUCUCCUCCACCUUCUCUCCUUCCUCAUCCUCGUCCUCCUCCUCUUCCUCGUCGUUGUACACGGAUAGAAGAGCGAUGCCCUCCGUCCUCGACGCCAUGGCAGGGCCCUUGGCGAAGGAUGGGAGGGGGGCCAGUACCCGCAAGCUGGUGAAGACGAAGAGGGAACGAAGCUGCAGAGGGAAAAGGCGAAGCCUUGCUUCCUCCUUCGCAAAAUAGUCCUCUAAAAAUAAAAGAGUUCAAAUUUCUUCCGGAAAGUAAAUAUUAUUACUUAUUUGACCUUAUCGACAAUCGGUCCGGACUAGGCGGUCCAAAGCCCAUCCAAGUGGUCCCACUUGGGCCUUCGAAGCCCAUCGUAAUUAUAAAAUGACCAAAAUGCCCUUAAAAAGGACCAUUAUAACAUUAAUCACAAAUCCGUAAUUUUUUUAUUUAUUUUUUAACCGAAAAAAUUAUGUGCAAUAAGAAUUCAUUUAUGAGCUGUAACUCUAAGAAUAAUUUAUGAAUUAUUAUAUUUUCAAUAUUCUUGCAAAUAAUAUUAUGCAGCUUUUUACUACACUUGAGGUGCUUUUACCACUGGUGACUAGCUUCUUGUGAUACGUGGAUCCCCCACCCCCCUCAUUUAUAACUUCCUAAUUUUUUUUAUCAGACAUUUUCAAAAAAAAUAAUGUAUUAUCAUAAUUGAAAAAUGGCAACCCUAUAAUUAUUUUAUUUUACAGAAAUGGAAAAUUAUAUUUUAUAGAGAUGGAAUUGUUGAAUAGCAACUCUAAGGAUCAUUAUACUCUAUAUAAGUGGAAAUUGAAAAAUGGUAAUUGAAAAAUUAUUAUAUCAUAUAGAAUUGGAAAAUUGAUGAAUAGCAACUCUAGGGAUUACUAUAUUUUAUAGAAAUGGAAAAUUAUAUUUAUAGAGAUGGAAAUUGAUGAAUAACAGUUGUAAGGAUUAUUAUAUUUUAUAGAAAUGGAAAUUGACAAAUAAAAAGUGUAAAUUUAUUAUGUUUUAUGGAAAUGGAAAAUUAUAUUUAUAGAGAUGGAAAUUGAUGAAUAACAAUUGUAAGGAUUAUUAUAUUUUAUAGAAAUGGAAAUUGACAAAUAAAAAGUGUAAAUUUAUUAUAUUUUAUGGAAAUGGGCGGCCAAUUUAAGAUGAACCAUGGUUAAUAAGUUAUUAUUUCGCCUUUUUUUUUUUAUUGAUGAAAAGUACGGUACUUAUGUGCAAGGGUCUCCGACAACUUUGAUGCCAUCUAUACCCCUUCCUUUGGAGACCAGCCAUCUUUUUAGGGAUUUAAGAAUAAGAAGAUAUUAUAUAGGGGGUUGUCGAUACAACACAGAUUAAGAUGUUGAAUGGUUGCCUAGGCCAGGGAUAAAAGAAAAGUCAAAGAAAAUGGACUCUCGGUUUGACCAUCUUUAUAAUUUUUUAUUUUUAUUAAAUUGCCGAAAAAAUAAAGUUAAUGCAUGAAAUUCCUAUUAAAUGGGUGUUCGACUAAGGAAUAAAGAGGUGAGUGUUGAUUUUUUAAAAAAAGUAUGAUGGAAAAUCAGGUAAGAACUUCAAGGAAAUUUCCAAGGGAGUAGCCUUAAAGUUACACGAAAUAUGAGAUAAAAAAAAUAUUUAAGAUAAAUCAAAACGAAUGUGAGCCAUGAAUUUGAUAAUUCUUCAGUGGGCUACUUUACUAAGCAAAAGAACAUGUGAGAGGAGGAUCAAAGACCUGAUUAUAAUUGGAGUGCCGCUCUUAAAAAGGGAAUUUUAAUAGAUCCGGAUUUAUAACUUGAUUAUAAUCAUAUGAUCCAAGAGAUACAUAUAUAUACAUAUAUAUUAUCUCGUUCAUGGUGAUCUUGAGAAGGAAAACUGUUCAAAUAUGAACAUGGAUGGAGCACACACCACCUUCUGGAUGAGAGAUGAAUCCUCUGCGAAAGGAAAGGAGAGCUUAAAGAUCUGAGUCUGUUCAUCAUCUGCACAUGAAGCUCCUUCGGCAGGGAAAUGGGUCUGUAAAUUUAAGGUUAAUGGUGAUGCUGAUGAGGCAGGCAUGAGCAUUGCUUGACCAUACGCUACAGCUGCACAAUCAGGACUUAUUUCUAUAACUCAGUUCGGUGCUCAAGAAUGUAUAUGAAAGCUCUCACAGAAAAUAAGAAGUAGAUCGUCACAGAUCAUACAGGCUCCAAGACAUAUUUUUCAUGUAAAUUGUGAUCUUGAUAUUCCAACGAUACCCAAUAUUCCAAAUAUGGGCAUUGUCGGAACACCCUCCACUGAUUCAUAGCAGGUUGGCCUCCAGAAAAGGAGGACAAGCAGAGAACUCUGUCAAUUAAUAGAAAUUUAUUGGAAUUUCUCACAGAGAUCUUCCAUCAUUGCACACAGAACUGCAAUGGUGGAUGAAUGAUGAGAGCAUCUAUUGAGGUAACCCUGUUGACUUCUAGAAAUGUAGAUGAAUCUCUCGCAGAGAUCUCUGAUCAUGGUGCAGGAAUGGAAUAUUUCCUCAGUGAGGCGCCCAUGAAAUUUAUUUAUGAAGAUCUCACAGAAACGAAGAAAUGGGUCGUCACAGAUCAUACAGCCAUUGUGGUCUUGAUGGGUGGAGCAUUAUUCCAAAUAUAGCCAUUGUUAGAACACCCUCCACUGAUUCAUGGCAGAUUGACCUCCGGAAAUGGAGGAGGAUUAGAAGCGAAUUCUGUCAGUUAAUAGAAAUUUAUUGGAAUCUCUCACAGCCAUUCGAACCAGAGAUCUCUGAUCAUGGCACACAGAAGUGCAAUGGCGGAUGAAAGCCACAGGCAUUUAUCGAGGUAACCCUGCUGAUUUCUAGAAAUGUAGAUGAAUCGCUCGCAGGGAUCUCUCGCCUGGAUAUCCAGUGAUGGCGGAAACGGGAAUGAACCAGAUCAGGGGAGCUGGAUUACAUACCUGGUUCUAAGAUUAUCCUGUAAUGGCAGAAAGGGGAAUGGACCAGAUGAGGGAAACCAGAUGGCUUGCAUACCCUCAAGCGGAAGAUCCAGCUGCGGCUGGAAUCGCCACCUGCUUCGCCUCCAGGGACUUCUCGUACUCCUCGAUCGACUUGAAGAGCUCGGAGAAGUUGCCCUUCCCAAAUCCGCCGCAGCCUCCCUUCUGGUACUCCUUCCCCCCCUCCUCCUUCACCAUGCAUCCAAUCCGCUGGAUGAUCUCCAGGAAGAUCGUUGGCCUGCGGGAUCAUCAAUCUGAGAGCAAGAUCGGAGGAGGGAGAUGGGGGAGAGCUCGAUCGUCCCUAAAGUUCAGCUACUCACCGGUCUCCUACGGGCUUGGUGAAGAUCUGGAGCAGAACCCCCUGAUCGUCCCGGUCUACAAGAACUCCGAGCUCCUCGCAGGCCGCCAUCUGCUCCUCCGUGAGGACGUCUGCUGCCCGCCGCCGCAGGUUCCGGUAGUAGGUAGCCGGCGGCGGAGGCAUGAACUCGAAUCCUCCUCCGCAGGCGGCGGCGGCGCGCAUCUUCCGCAGCGUCGCCAGCACGUCGCGGCUGGAGAGCGCCAGGUGCUGCAGACCAGGGCCCUCGUUGUGGUCGAGGAAGGUCUGGAUCUGGCUGCGCCGCUUGGUGCCAUGAACGGGCUCGUUCAGUGGGAGCAGGACGUCCUCGUCGUUGCUGGCGAGGACGACGGAGUUUAGGCCGCUCUCGACGGUGCCCACGUCCUCCGCCGUGAACUCGGCGAACUCGUGGAAACCGGUGAAUUUCCGGAUGUACGCCGCCGCCGGCGCCAGCUCCGGCACGUUGCCGACGGCGUGGUCCAGACGUUUGAUGCCGUAGUCCAUGGCGGGGGAUGGCGGGGACGCGUCCUCGAACCCCGGGAGGAACGACCACUGCCUCGAUCCGCCGCCGCCGACCCCGGCGGCGACGCUUAUGUAGCGGAGCACGACGUCGCCGUAGAGCUCAACCUCAGAGAUCGUCGCUGCUCCGCCGCCGAGGGCCGCCGGGGGGAAGGAGGGGCGAGCGCCAUUGGCGACGCUGAUGGCGAAGGCCGAGGCCGCAUCGUCGACGAGCAACGCAACCGCACGAACACCGAGGCCGUGUGCAUUGGAGAACCGCCGGCAAGCCGCGGGAUCGAAGGAAGGGAUCGCUGCCGCCGCCGCCGCCGCCGCCGCAGCUGCCGCAAUGCCCUCGCAAUCUGGGAGCACGGUGGCGAUGGCAGCGGGAGAAGAGGAGUAGGGAGCGGAGAAGAGGAAACGGAGGUCCCCUGACUGAAGAAGAUAGGACGCGUGGACGGGGUUGCCGGUGGAGAGAUCAGAUCGUGCGGCGAUCGCCAUGCCGAGGCCGAAGGAGAAGCGGCGGGAGACGUUGGUGGCGUCGGCACACCAGAACUCGACAUGGUGGAAGCCCCUGACCUGGAACCGGUCGCUGCGGGGGUUUCUCCGGACGAACUUCGAGUAGCCGACCAGCCGGAACUCCUCCUCGCCGGCGUCGCCGUCGGCGACCUGGAGAGGCUUCACCUGGUGGCGGCCAUUUCCCUCGGCUCCGGCCAUGGAUGAGGAAACUUCAAAGGAACCAGGGCGGCGGUGGCGGCGGCGGAGUGAGGCGGCGGUGGGAGGACGAGGAAGAGGGAGGGGCAGGAGCAGACGGCAAGGGCUGAGGAGGAGCAUGCGCGAAGAGGCGCCAGAGAGGUUCGUCGAAGAUGACGAGACGUGUCGGGCAAUAAGUGCUGCCACGUGGAAGGUGGCCCAAUCUGCACGGCUCCGACGCUCAUUCGUCUAACAUGGAGGGGUGAGCUUGACACGUCGGAUCCACGCGAAUGCAACUCCGGAUGAGUCGACGGCCGAUCUAAUCCGGAUUAUAGGGAGUAUUUUGUAGCCAAUAAUUAUUUAACGAAGAUAUUUUAGGCCAUUUUAAGAGAAUAAAAUGAAUAUACAAUGAAAAUGACUUUUCAAUGGUCUCACAAAUUAUAAAAAAAUCAUAAAAAAUAUUUAAUGCCACUGGGCCCACAUAGGAUUCAUAAAAUUUUAAAAAAUUAUAAAAAAUAUUUAUGGUCCAUAACAUGCAUGUUGUGCGAUUAAACAUAGUAAUUUCAACUCUUUUUUUAUAACUAAAUGUGGACUUCGUUGACAUGUUUGCUAAGUGGGUCAUGGGGAUAUUUUCUUCAUAAAGUAAUUUGAUUGACUAAAUUAGGACAAUGACACAUGAUUUUUAACUUUUAAACCUUAUUUUUCAUCUGAUAUUUACCCAUUCCAAUUGUCAUUGUAUAGAUGACAACACAUGACACCAAGAAGAAAGGGGGGAUGGAUGAAAUGAUAAUAAGGAGAAUAUAAAACUAAAAAUUAUGUGUUAGAACAAAAAUUCAAGGAUCUUAUUUCAAAUAUUCCUAUCAUUUAAUCUUAGCACCUCAUGAUGAAGUUGAUCUAUUUAUACACAGUGUACAUGUAGUCAACACCAAUUGUUUUAGGUUCAAACUUAAAUUUGGUGUCAAGUAUACAUACAAGUUGGGGAUUUACAGCUUCAACACUCCAUUGAUUUAAGAAAUAAGUUGAUCAACAAGAAAUUAGUGGUUCAUGUACCAUGUUAACUUGCCUUCCAAGGCUUAAUAUCCCUAAUUUUAGUGGAUUAGAGGCUUCUCUCUAACUCUAGCUAUUAUAGAACAAAUCAAGUUUACUAAAAGUUAAAUAUUCUAGCAACCUUUAUUAAACUUUUGACAUCAAUUACCUAAGAGAUGUUAUAUAAUACACACCUUUAUUGCUCUUUGUUGUUUCAUGAGGUCUCUUGCUAAUUUAAAUGAGGAUGUUCUUAACAGGUCUUAUUUUGGAAGAGCACAAUUUCACUUUGCAUGAAAUAAAUCUGAGUUAAGUAAAUAUGUGUAUUUAUUGCUUUUAUACGAAAUUUAUGAACUCAUUCUAAGAAAACCUACUAAAACUUUAUGAACAUAGAGAUGUUUCUGUUGUGAGAAGCACUCAAAACCUACUUUAGUGAAAGCCAAGUUUUUCUACACAUUAAUGGGCUUGCUAAUGUUCAUUUCCAUUGAAGCAUUAAACAUGUGUUAUUUUGAUAAUGGAAGACCUAAGAUCACUUACAUAUCAAAUUAUAAUAAUUGAUAAUAAAAUUAAUUUAUAAAUAAAUAUUCUUUUAUGUAGGAGUUUGAAGCUAAUUAAAUACAAAUCUAGGAAGAAUUAAAAGUAAUAAUAAUAAAUACCCAAAUAAGAAUUCAGAGAAUGUAUAUGAAACUUGUAAUGUUAAAUUCUCGAAUUUGAUAGAGUUAUUACUUGAAAAUAUUACUAUGUACAUUGCCAUGAAAACUUUUAAUAUUUACAUAAAUUGUUUUGGUAUAAAAGUAAUGAUUCACUUUGAUAUUGAAUUAAUUGAUUGAAUUCAUAUUGCUAAUUGGGGUUUUUUGAAUAUUGAUAAAUAUUUAUAUCAAUGAAGAUAUAAGUUUACAUAUUAAGAUUUUGAUUCAAUUGUCUACCUCCUGCUUUGAAGUUUUUGAGGGAAUAUAGAUAAGUUUUGAUUGUCACAAUCAUUACUCUAUCUAAAGGUGCAUUGUUUCUUCCAUUUAGAUGAAAAUACAUCUCUAUUAGACUUCUUUAAAUUAAUAAGUUUUGAAUUUAUACGUUGAUGCCUAAUAGUAGUGUAUAUUGAUUUCUCAUUUAGUAUAGCUGACUUUUAAAGGUCAUGUUGUAUUGUUUUAUAGUUGUUUACUUUUCUAUAAUUUUUUAAUUUAAAUAUUGAGUUAAAAUAGAAGUAGAUAAGGCUUUUUAGCAAAACUUUUUUAUAAAUUAUCACCUCUCCAUUAGCUAAUUAAUUUUAAAUGAUUACCUUUGACCAUAUUUCAUCUUAAGAUUCAUACUGACAUUUUCUACAUAGAUUAAUAUGUGAAUUUAUGAAGUCUUUUCUACUAUGUCAAAUGACAAGAAGUCAACGAUUUGAGGAACAAACAUCAAGCUUUAUGAGAUCUUUCUUGAUGUGACUGAAGUGAGAGUAGAAUCAACACUAAGCUGACCUCUUUAUGAGAAAAUGACAACAAGAGUUAAGUCUCCAUCAUCAUCAUCUUCAUUAAAAUUCUACAUGCAAUAUAACUCAACAUAUUCUUCAACAAAAAAUUAUGGCAAAAUAUAUUUUAUUUUUUGCAGGUAAACAUGUGGUUAAAUCUUCAAUUAAUCACUCAAGGGAGUCAAAAUGUAAUGAUUUCUUGGCUGACUAGAGCUGCGAAAGAAAAAUAGAAGUUUGAGAUGUAAUUUUGUUUGAGCCAAGCCUAUUGGAUACUAGUUUUGAUUGGUGGAGAAAUCUAAUAACAAAGUUGUUUUUUGAAAGUUGAUGUAAGUAGGGGGCCAAGCCACUUCAAAAUCCUAAAUUCAUCUACCUUUAGAGAUAAGAAUAUUGUAUGAUUUAAAAUUGAAGUAGGGAAUUAGAAAUCAUUGCAAUAUUUGACAAAAGUCAAAUAUUAGGCAAUGAUUAAUUUAAUCCUUCCUUAUUCAUCUAUGUGAAACUUAUAAUUUAAUAUUUAUAAAUGCUACUAUCAACCCACCAGUAGAUAGCUUUGCCUCCUCACUUUUAAAAAAAAAUAUAUAUUUAAAGAAAUAUAUAGCUACCAUAGAAAUCAAAAAUAUUUUGGAAAAUUGGAAUUUUGAUCCAUCAUUAAUGCAUUAGAACUGUCUUGAAAUAACUUGUCCAACAAAUAGUAACAUGCCUAGGUUUGCUACAUGAGUUUAUGUCUGAAAUUAAAUUUCUCCUACACUAUUAAUUUUCUAGACAUUUUUGCACAAAUGGAAAUUUCGAUUUGGUUACUCAAAAAAAAGUUGAAUAAAGUCUUCAGGUGCUCAAAACCCCUUUGCCAUCAUCAAAAAUUUCUUGGGUAGUUACCCAACACCAAUAAAAUUCAGCAUUCUUUCAAAACACAAUUUUUUGAGAUAAAUGAAGAUAAAGUAGAUAUUAGCUUAGUUAAUGAUAAACUAUACUAAUAUGAUAACCAGGUGCUUUUAUUAUUUUUGUGCUACAUUAUAAAACACUGGAUAAUAUUGUGUAGAAAUAUGAGAUAAAACGAAGAUCUCAAAUUAGAAUUAUUUAGCUAUAGCUCUUUUAUAUAUCACAUUAGUGAUUAAAAUCCCAUAGGCUAAAAUAAUUUUUUGAAUAAUUAUUACAAAUUUUCAGUGAAGCAUCUAGUUUUUUUUCCAAAUUUUUCUUAGUUAAAAGUUUUUCUUCAAAUUAACCUCACUUAGACUAAUAAAAUAGGUGACACUAUUUUAAGAAAAACAUUUCAAAAGUUGCAAUAUGAAGUGACAAAUGUACGAGAAAUUGUGUUCAGAAAAUGAUUUAGUAGCAAAUGGACAUUAUAAUUUCACCAACAUGAAAAAUGACCUGAUUUGUAGCAAGUUUUAUGCAGAUAAUAAGUGGGUGAGUAUUAGGUAGUUUAACAAUGUUAAAUCAAAUUUCUAGUAAUGGAACCAAAUAAAAUGAUUCAAUUCUAAUAAUGAGACGUUUUACGAGGGACCUAAAGAGCCAAGUCAAAAGGUGAGGGAUUCGUCUCUGUAGAUUGAGAGCCUAUUGGGAUCUUGAAAUGAUUAGUCGAGGGGGGGUAGAAUGGGAAGGACGUGACAAGUGGCAUGAGAAAAUCUAGUGCCUCUACCGUAGCCACAAGGUAGAGCGCAAGAGAAUCUGACGGCCCCACGAGGCCUAUCCGCUCCGCCCAAUCAUGACCUUCCAGCUCAGCAGCCUCUGUUCCGCUCUUCCUCACCUUAUCUCCAUGAUCUCACCCUCUCUCUUCUCUUCUGUUCCUCUCUCUCAGACCCCUUCUGCUUCUCCUUGGACAGUUCCACCUUCACGGUAAGAAGGAAGAGAGGGAGAGAGAGAGAGAGAGAGAGAAGGAGAGGGCGAGGCGGAGAUGUCGAGCUUCACGACCACCACCCUACCGAAGCCCAUNNNNNNNNNNNNNNNNNNNNNNNNNNNNNNNNNNNNNNNNNNNNNNNNNNNNNNNNNNNNNNNNNNNNNNNNNNNNNNNNNNNNNNNNNNNNNNNNNNNNNNNNNNNNNNNNNNNNNNNNNNNNNNNNNNNNNNNNNNNNNNNNNNNNNNNNNNNNNNNNNNNNNNNNNNNNNNNNNNNNNNNNNNNNNNNNNNNNNNNNNNNNNNUAAGAAGGAAGAGAGGAGGAGAGAGAGAGAGAGAGAGAAGGAGAGGGCGAGGCGGAGAUGUCGAGCUUCACGACCACCACCCUACCGAAGCCCAUCAUCAAGCCAAGGUUGCACUGCCAGCCGAAGAUCAGGCCGGCCACCGUCUCCUGCUCCGCCACCCCUCCGCCGCAGGGGGAUGCGGCGGCGGCCACCACCUCCUCUUCUCUUAAGGCCUUCUCCGCCGCGGUGGCACUCUCCACCAUCCUUCUCUCCACUCCCGUCCCCCCCGCCGCCGCCGACAUCGCCGGUCUCACCCCAUGCAAGGAGUCCAAGGCCUUCGCCAAGAGGGAGAAACAGGCCCUGAGGAAGCUGGAAUCCUCCCUGAAGAAGUAUGACCCAGAUUCUGCGCCGGCUCUCGCCAUUAAAGCCACCAUGGAGAGGACCAAACGGCGGUUCGACAACUACGGCAAGUUUGGGCUCCUCUGCGGCUCCGAUGGGCUGCCGCAUCUGAUCGUGAGCGGCGACCAGAGGCACUGGGGGGAGUUCAUCACCCCGGGCUUGCUAUUCCUGUACAUCGCUGGCUGGAUAGGGUGGGUUGGGAGGAGCUACCUCAUCGCCAUCCGCGACGAGAAGAAGCCGACCCAGAAGGAGAUCAUCAUAGACGUCCCUCUCGCCUCCCGCCUGGUCUUCCGGGGCUUCAUCUGGCCCGUCGCCGCCUACAGGGAGUUGCUCAACGGCGACCUCAUCGCCAAGGACGUGUAGUGUGUCUCUCUCUCUGAACCGUCCGUCUUUCUACUUGCACCCCUUUAUCUGGGAAACUCGCUUGCCCCUGUUUUCUUCUCUCUCUCUCUCUCUCUCUAUCUCCGUCUGUGUACUUAUCUCCUUCUAGCUCGCGUCCGGCUGAAUGUCUCUAUAGAUUCUUCUGCGGUUAUAGCAGGCCCCUCUCUCUCCUCGUCCUGGUGAACCCUCUUUCUCUUGGACUGGGCGGACGAUGCCCCCCAACCCAGCGGCCCCACUGGUAGCACACUCGAGCUGCCGCCCGCUCGACCACUUCAAAAGGCCUGCCUUUCUCUGGGCUCCGUAAGCCUUGAGAUUGACUCCUCACUGAAGAGAAAAGCACAGUGAACGAACUCAAUAAUCUCCUUAUCCACAGGGAUAUUUGAGUGUGAACCUCAGAGCUAUUAGCGUAAAAGAACAAGACACCUUAAAGCUAAAAGUGAUUUUUUAAGUCCUCAAUGGGAGAAAAAAAAGGAUAAAAUUAAUAGUUUUCGGCCCAAAAAAUCCGUCCAUCUAAAAAUUAUGCCAACUUUUAGGGGCAAAAUGCAGAUGUACAUCCUAGAAAUAAUAAUAUCUGAUGAAGAAAAUUUCUAACAUUUAAAGUUUCCAAAUUAAUUAGGGAGUUAAAAACCGAAUGAAAAACAACUGUGCGUUGGCAUUAUUAAUUACCUAAACAGCUGUUUUGGUUCUGCUUCAUAUUAUUUGUUGGAGACAUCUAGGUUGCACUUCUUGGGUUUUUUCUUUUCUUGCAGAUCUACUUUAUGCUGAUCACCCUUGCUUGAAAAUGACUCUUCAUCUAGUUUUCAUGGACAUGUAACAUUUAAAUCACUGACUAACUGUUCAAUGAGGUGAUUGUCUCUUUGUAUUGGGAAUCUGAAAGGAAAGAAAGGCUGAUUUCAAAAUUUUCUUUAUUUUCAUUUUUUUUCUCUAUUAUAGCUCUAAAAGAAAAUUUACACUAUGAAGCAAAUGAACCAUUUUUUAGUUAAUUUGAUAGAAACCUUUUCUUUUUGAUUGAACAAGCUGGUUUCUCCUUUAAUGGAAUUGGGUUGUGAUCAUCAAAUGAAUACCUUUGAACACUGUCAUUGGUACCCAUUUUAGAAUCAUACUUUAUCUCAAACCUAGCCUUUGUUGGUUAUUAUUAAAAGAAAAAAUAUUAUACUUAUUUUGCACACUAUGAUUGGCAUUAUCUUGAGGGUCAAAAACAUUUUAUUAAAAGAGUUCCCACCUCACAAAGGAUGCCAGAAACAUAGUUUUCCUUCUCAUGUAAAUGAACUAUCUUCUUAACAGAAAGUCUUCGGGUUGGACCUUGCUUUGAUGGUAACCGAUGUAACAUAGGUUGAAGAGGUUGUUAGGGGUAAUAUUUGAAGCCUUCAAGUUUGGAGGAUUCAUGGGGGUAACACUUGAAUCCAUAGAGUCAAUGAGAAGAAUCUUUGAAGCGAAAAUGAUUGACUGGGGAAUUCCUUGAAUUCAUGACUAAUGAGGCCUUUGAAUUUGUGUGUGUGUGCGUGCGCAUGUGCAUAUGUGUGUAUGGUUGAGAGAGAGGGAGAGAGAGAGAGAGAUUUGUGAUGAGUAAAUACGCUUGGGACUUUCUUUUAAGGGCCACGCAUCAGUUGGUUGGUUGAAGACAAAACUGCUCUGUUUUCACGUGAACGUUGAAUACAUUUAUUUCGGAAAUGUUCCCCAAAACUCCAUACUUUUUCUUGGGCCCAUCGGAAAAGUUUCACCAAUUGUGCCAACAUGGCUUUUAGUCUUCAGACCUAUGAAGCUGUCCUCCCACCACAUUCUCAUCAUAGUCCCUUAUCCAGGAUUUUGACUUAUUCAAGGACUCCAUCCCAUUUGGAUGACCAAUCGGACAUGAACUUGACCUCCAUUCAACCACCCUCUACAAAAACGACAAGAUUCUGUAGUAGUUUUCAAUUAUUGUUGAACUUACAAUAAUCAUAAUCACUUAUUAAAGCUCUGAUGUGAAAAAAUUUCUUUAGAUGAUCUUCAAGCAUUUUUAACUUGAAGGUAAUGUCACAAGGAUUGGGAAUUAUGAAAUAGCCAUUGCCAAUGUACACUUUCUUCAAUGGCUCUUAGAUGACUGAUUUUUCUAAUUUUUUAGUUUUUAGUUUCAGUUGAGUAGAUUUUUCGUAGUAUAAUAGCGAUUUUGAGUUUUGAUACAUUGAUUGCUCAUUUUCUUACAUAGCAAGAGUAAAAUGUGCCUUAAAUCCUUUUGUUUCAUGAACAAUUUUUCUGGCACCAUUCACUACUUGAAAGAAAUUUAACAUGAGUUAUUAUCUACUUUAGAUAUUUUUCAUCAUAAUAUAAAUCUAACCUUGUGUCUUGUGUUGUAAGGAACUGUUUGGGAUUCUAAAAUAUAAAUCAUUAAGGCUUGUACUGAUCUACUAUUAAAAUACUCAUGGAUGUUUUAAGUGACAAAUGUUAAUUUGUUAAUUCAUGCCUAAUAAUUCAGUGUAUGUUUCACUCAUAAAUUGGUGAAACAUAACAACUUUUUCAUUAGAGAGGGGAGAAGGUCUGAUUGACUGGACCACCAUAACUUCUUGUGUGCAUGUUGCUUGUUAUGCCCUUAUUAAUUGGGAACAAUUAAAAAAUCCUCUUGAACUAUAGUGUUGUCAAAGCUCAACCAUCAGUCUUUGAAAUGCCCAUAAAUAAAAGUUAAAAUCAUAGAACACUCAUAUUUAAGUAAAUUAUAUAAAUAAUAUAAAUAAUUAUUUUUUCAAUUGUGUACUAGUUUUGGUAUUUUUUGGAUAUAUAUUUUUUAAAACUUGGUUUUAAUAGUUUUUCCAACAUCUCUCAUUCAAUUUUAUGUAUCCUAAUUACACAUGAUUUCUCACUUCAAAAAGAUUUGAGAUAGGAUAUUGAUUAUAAGGAAACCUUAGGUUGCCAAUUUAAACUAAAUGACCUAAUAAUGGCUUUGAAUAGACCCAAUCACUAUGGGAAAAGUUAAGAAUUUAACAAACAUGUACAUGAGAUUGACAAACAAGCAGUGGGAACCUUUAUAGGUCAUUAGGGUUUCCCUAGUAGAUGGGAUGCUAACAUCUACUUUAACAACACAUGCUAUCUGAAAAUGUGAAUUCAUGAAUUCAAAAUCCAUUGAGACCAUUUUAGUUAGCAAUGUGUUACAGAUGGAAAACUGAUUUACAUUUAUUGACAAGAAUCUAUUGAAAGAUAUCUAGCAUCAUGAACAUGUUAACAAAGGAUAAUAAUAUUAGAGCAUGUUAAAGUACCUUCAUUGUAAAAUACAACCAUUCCUAGUAGAAAACACUUUGAUGAAACACAAUCGUUCAAAAAAGUAUGGCUUUAAAGUCCCAAAUGGGUAAAACGGAGAACUCGAACAUCUAGUUUACAUGCAAAUUGUUGAUGUGAGAAGGAACAAGAAAGAUGUUUCUUGCUAAAAAUAAUGAAGAUAUGAUCAUAACCAUGAAAAAAUCAUCUAAAAUAUUUAGUCAAGAGAAUAUGUGAAGUGAAAUCAGUCCUAUAUGAGGAAAAUGAAGCUAAAAUUAUAUCAGCUAUGGUACAAGGUAAAAAACCUAGAUUAGGACACAUGAAAUGCAAGUUUAUGUAAAGAGAAAGGGAUCAUAUAAGAAGAUGUUAAUAGGCUAAUUAAAUUGUAUAAACUCUAAACUCUCAGUAGACUAAGAUGAAUGGCACAAGCACAUUCUAUUAUUGAAAGAUUAGAGAUUUCAGAUCUAAUUUGAAGGAGAUGAUUCCCACUCUAAUACAAUACGAGGGGUGAUGAUUAGAUGGUGAUGUGCAGGUUGUAGUAAAUUGCCAUGCAUGGGCAUGAUUUGGAUGCACAAGGAGUUUAUGUGUGAAUGCACAUAUGACAUAGUCUUGAAGUGUGACAGCAUAUGGCCUGGUAUGUGGGACUUGGAUUUGGUGGGUGUGUGUAGGCAAGUGUGUGAUGAUGUCAUGCAUGUGUUUAUGUAUGCAUGUAACAUGCUUGCAACCUAACAAAUGAGAACUCUAGUGCAUGGACCUUGUUGAAUGCCUAAGAUUUGCGUACUUUCAAGACUAAAAUUUAAAGUACUAAUUUGAAUCCUAAAAGAUAUUUUAGGAAAAUUUUACCUAUCACUAAUUAAAUGAUCUAAUUUUUAAAACUUAUAGUGCUUAAUUAGAUUUUAAGAGGUAUUUAAAAAUAAUUUUUUAAAAUUAAAAUAAAUGAUACUCAUAAAUAAUGUAAUUGUUAGCCUGUUAAUUUUCCAAUCACUACAUUUAUGAAACUGGCUACUACACUUGACUUGAUAAAAAUAUAUAUUUUAUAUUUAAGUUAGAAGGAUAAAAAUUGAUUUGUCAAAUAUAGGUUUUAGUUAAUGCUACAACUUAUGAAAUCUAUUGACCUUCAGUAGUCUAACGUAGAUUGAUGGCUACAAGUUAAAAUAAUUUUGGCCAUGAUAUCUAAAUGAUAUACUCAAACACAUUGUAAAGUAGUUUGAAUGACAAAAAUGGUACAAUAAGUAAUUUUUUAAUAAUUUUAAGUAACAUUAUUUUUACAAGAAAACACCUAAUUUAUUUUAAUAUGUUGACAAGUACAUGUUAGGAUAGUUAAUUGCUAGAUUCUUAGUGUAUAGUAAUUAUUGUAGAUUCACAUUACAAGGUGAGGCUAGUUUACAACAAGGAAACUUUGUACCAUGUUUUCAGUUGAAGAAAAAGUGCUCCAAAAUAAAAUGCCUACUUCCAAAGUCAAUAAGUUUAGUUGAUAAUGAACCAGAGAAGAUUGAGCGCCAUUCAACACAUUUGGGAGAGAUAAAAUUCAUUACCUACCAUAUGAUUGAUUAGACUACCUAUUAUACCUAUUUAUCUAGUCGUUUGUUGUUUUCUACAUAUUAAUUAUUUUCGUACUACUUUUGGCUACACCUUUGUGCACAAAAUUAAAUAAUGGACUAUGGUAUAAAAUAGUUUUAUUUAUAAAAUAGUUUUAUUAAUUAUAGAUGUUAUCAUUCUAGAUACACUUUUAACUUAUCUGAUGUCCUUAAAACCUACAAGGGGUGAUAUGUAGGAAGGAAAUGAGGAGGAAGAAAGGUGAUUGGUAGAGGAGGGAACAAGAAGGUGUUGGGUCUCUUGCGGAUCUCUCUCUCAACAUUAUCAAGUACAUUAAAAACCAAGGGGACCAUACCUCUUCAUUCAUGCAUCAAUGAUUCAAGGAUGGAGUUAUGCAUCCUUAAAUAAAGCCAUCAUGAAAAAGAAAGAAAUUUCAACCUAAUGCUAAGGAUUACCAUAUCUAGAUGAAAGUUACACUAAAGUUGCUUAGUGAGAGACAAAUAAUAACGACAUUCCUUGUUUGAUAUAAACGUGGGUAUUGUGACUCUUUAUUGAGGUCAUGAUUGUGUCAUCAUUCACUAAAAUUCAAGGCCUUAACAUUGUGUGGUUGUAUGAAGACAUUGAUAAUCAACAUUUGGAGACAAAUGUUUGAGUGCUUAGGAAGGUGUGGUCGUGUAUGGAUUGAUCUAGAUUAGGUCCUUACAAACAAGAAAGCUCAAUUGAGGAAAGUUAUUAUGAAGUGGGAGAGAAGAAGCCGGGAUAUGUGGGUCCCAGGUCAACCAAGUGCAUGCGAGUGUCGGUGUGAGUGAGCGCGUGGCUGGUGCAUGAGAAUAUACACAUUGUCAACAAUGGAAGAAAGUUCAGGAAGGGGAUAUGGGCUAAUUUGCAUGUGCAAAGGAGAAUGAAGUGAGAUUAAAGGAAAAUGUGGUAUGAAACUUUGACUUGAGCUUUCACUUAUGACAACCACGCACACUCCUAGAUUGGCAAUGACUACCACAAUCAAGCCGCACUACGGGCCCGUCACUUCGCCCUAAGGUUCCUUUAGUUUGGAACUGAACUGGCCAAAGCCCGCCGCUAAUAGAAGCUAAGCUAAGCGCUUUCAAAGCGCGCUAAGAAGCUCUGUGCAGGUUACCCGUCCACAAGUAGCGGAAGAAAGGGUUACAGUACAUCGGUCUUCCAGUUCUUAGUGCAGCUGUUUCUUACCUGUAAAGUAGUACAACAGCAGUCUCUUAUUUUAUAACCCGAUUCCUUUUUCUUUCAGUAGAGAAAAUUUGGAUGUCUGUAUAAUAGAUAAGUUCGGUGAGUAAGUGAGUCCUCACUGACCUGAGCUAUUUCGAUCACCUAGCCGGCAGCUAAAGCCGAGGUGUAUCAUCUGAUUCGACUAAGAAGGAAGGAACUUGAGUACUCGCCCCACUAAGAAAGCCGGGAGAGUCUCGAUAGGUAGCGCAUAGGCGCUCUGUAGCCAUUACUUCCUCUUUUCAAGUCAUCUUUAACUUCCAUAGAAUGAUGUUACCUAUCUUUAAAUAAAGCCAUUAUGGUAUAUAGACUUAUGGAGAGAUCCGUCGGCGGAGUAAAACACCAAAUAAGAUGACAUUAAGGGAUAAAAGGGGAAAUCAAAAGGGGAUGAUUAAUGCAGGAAAACUAAUAUAAUUUUAGCCUUAAUUUACAAAAGAUGAUUAAAGAAAACACAAUGGCCCCUUGCUCAAAUUAUGAAAUUAAAUUAGUUGGCCAUUUUUUCCAUGGUAUAAAGGUUGUUUUGAUGAUUCGUUGGUGGAGUUGAUAUGCUCUAGCAAUGUUCUCUCAAGGUUUGCACAUUGUAAUCCUAACAGAUCUCCCACAUGGUGAUAAACUCAUUCACAUUUUCUAAGAAUAUGAUACAUCCAUAUUUUUGUAUUGUGGAUCCUCCUUUUUGAUACAUUGAAUUCUUAAUUGCAUGUCUACAUAGAAUUGCAUGAGACGCAACUGUCUCACUUGGUCAUUGGAGGAAAUGGCUUCCACAUCCAAAAUGUUGGAAUCAAGGAAGGAGAUUAUGAAGUGAUGAAAAGGUUUGAUUUCAAGAGGGGAUAAUGGUUCAACGUGUGUCCUAGCUUCAAAUACUUCACUAUCAUGCACUAUUUGUACUAGAAAUUGUCUUGUAAACAAGGUUAGAUGAACAACACAUGGGCUUGCUCAAACAGAUUUGCAUUGUAGGUUUGAUGUUUCUUCCACAACCUGUAAGAAAGAGCUCAAGUUAUAGCUUAUUAAUCAUAUAUUGAUUGGAUGCCUUCAAUGAGAGUUCAUUAAGCUUUGGCCUAAAUGAGUCCUGAUGUCAAUGUACUUGCUAUGUUUUAAUUUAGAAUCCUAAUACAUUGCGCUGGAGUCUUGCUAGUUUUUCACUAUAUAGAAUGCAUUAACACAAGGAAGAGAUCAUAAAGUUUCCAAGGCUUUUUAGCCUUGCACUAUUUUGAAGGGUUUCUUACCUAUGGCCUUAUUUAUGGAUUUAUAGAAUGCAAUUUUAGCUUGUGGAGUAAGAGCUCAUAAUCCCUAUAAGUAUCAUUAAUUUGCUAUGCCAAAUGGUUAAAAAAUUCUUUUACACUGAAAGAAACUUUUUUAUCAAUCUAUCUAACUUUGAUUGAGGAUGGGAUGGGUUUAAUUAAUAUCGUGCUUAUAUCAUUGGUCUAAUUUUCUUAGUGCAUAUCACUCUAGAUUAAUAUGAUGAUAAAUAAUAUCACUAUAGAAGCUAAUGAUUGUCUUAAUAGAGACAUUUUCUUAUAGCUAAAUGUUGUCUUUGUCAGUUGGGAGCACAAAAAAUGCCAACAUUUAUUGCACGUAUUGGCUAUGUUUGUAUUCUUCUAAAGUUUUACACAUGUUUCUUUCCUUGUUUGUGUGAGUAACAAAAAAAGGCCUACAACUAGUUUUCAUUUUGGCUAGAAAUCGUUUUCAUAAAACUUGUAUUAUCUUUUACGGAAGUUUAUCAUCCAUCCCUUUACACAUUAUGGCACCCACUUUGUGGACCAAAAAUCACCACUUCCAUCAAUAAAGCAAUCUACCCUCCUAUACCACCUCCCAACUCUCAUCAGCUAGGAUUCUCAGCCUUAUGGUCACGUCACUCCUUGGUGCUUCUUGCCUACGUGUGAUGGCUCCUCUGGUUUCCUAUUGCUUAUCUCGCUGUUUCUGUUCUCAAAGGCAUUGAAUGAGGAAGCAAGAAGUGGCCACAUGGGAUGUGUGAUAUAAUACUUUGACUUAUCACAAAGGACGGCUGUGUUGGACGAGUUCCGUCCAUAGAAGCGAACUGGAUUCAACAAUACUUUUCUAGUGAUUGAGCCUUAAUUGACUUAUCCCUUGGAUUCCUCAUCCUUUUGUGCGACUAUACACCUCGUACCACACAGGAUUUAAACCUUUAGAUCUUAUCUAACCCCAAUCUGACGCUGAUCAGGCAAUAGCUUUUGGUCGUGCUUGAUCUAAGUUCACCGAAUCAAAUAGAGUUGCCUACAUCCACCUGCUACAGCAGCCCGUGUAAACAAAAUGAAGUAAAUCAGUACAUACGAAACUAUGUAGCCGUUCUCUCUCUCUUUCUCUCUCUCUCUCUCUUCCGGUUCUCCCUCAUUCAGUCAUUAGCCAUGAAGAGCAGCUCCACCGUCGUCUGCCUGCCACAGAUCAGGCAGUGAGGCUUCGUUUCCGAGUUCUCAAGAUUGUAAAGCGCGCGCCCAUCAUACAUCGUACUUAUCUUUUCCCCGGCUGCUGGAGUUAUCCUUCGCUGCGCCCUCAGGAUUUCUUCUCACGCCAGUCUGGCAGUGUUGUCGUCCCACCACAGGUUCCAUCAGCUGCCACAUCCUGCCUCGUUCAACGUCUUCUUCUCGCGGACCAGGGGGGAAGCUGACCCACCAUCACUGACUGUCCAGUUAACUAUCCGUCACGUAAAAGGAAAUUGGAAUAAGAUGUAAGACUCGGCCCGCUUAGGCGGCCUCAUCUGAUCUCUCUAAUAUAUUCCAGGGGUUCGCUAUAAGUCCUCAUUAUAGAAAUUCUCCGUCGUCUUUCAUACAUCACCAAAUAUAAAUAUUACUCGGUAAGUGUAAAAUAAAAAGGAUUUUGUGUCUCAGCAGCCAUGGGUUUGACCUUCUGAGCUCGUGAAAGGUCAACCCAAGAUAAAAGUGCGGCGAUAACAUGGGCUGGAAGGUCGUGGCAAGCUUUUAUCUCUUCCGGUGAGCAGCCUCCGCGUGUCCUAUCGCCUAUAUGAUAUAGAGUUGGUGUGGGGUCAACGUCUCGUAAAUUGGACCAGUCGUCUUUUUCGCCUCGUGGGGUUGAACCCACGUGGCCAGCUGCUUGACUCGGGCCACCCACCGACCCACCGGCUCCGUGAUUAGGCCACCAUGUGAAAGUUGGACCGUUCCGGACAGCUCACCAAAUCAUACCGCCGAAGAGCGACGCCUGUUGGGGGCGACGCGCCUCAUCCUAUUAAAUUGAGCCAAGCCUUUCAGAUCUCUGAGGGCUAGAGAGAGAGAGAGAGGGAGGAGAGGAGGGAGAGAUGGNNNNNNNNNNNNNNNNNNNNNNNNNNNNNNNNNNNNNNNNNNNNNNNNNNNNNNNNNNNNNNNNNNNNNNNNNNNNNNNNNNNNNNNNNNNNNNNNNNNNNNNNNNNNNNNNNNNNNNNNNNNNNNNNNNNNNNNNNNNNNNNNNNNNNNNNNNNNNNNNNNNNNNNNNNNNNNNNNNNNNNNNNNNNNNNNNNNNNNNNNNNNNNNNNNNNNNNNNNNNNNNNNNNNNNNNNNNNNNNNNNNNNNNNNNNNNNNNNNNNNNNNNNNNNNNNNNNNNNNNNNNNNNNNNNNNNNNNNNNNNNNNNNNNNNNNNNNNNNNNNNNNNNNNNNNNNNNNNNNNNNNNNNNNNNNNNNNNNNNNNNNNNNNNNNNNNNNNNNNNNNNNNNNNNNNNNNNNNNNNNNNNNNNNNNNNNNNNNNNNNNNNNNNNNNNNNNNNNNNNNNNNNNNNNNNNNNNNNNNNNNNNNNNNNNNNNNNNNNNNNNNNNNNNNNNNNNNNNNNNNNNNNNNNNNNNNNNNNNNNNNNNNNNNNNNNNNNNNNNNNNNNNNNNNNNNNNNNNNNNNNNNNNNNNNNNNNNNNNNNNNNNNNNNNNNNNNNNNNNNNNNNNNNNNNNNNNNNNNNNNNNNNNNNNNNNNNNNNNNNNNNNNNNNNNNNNNNNNNNNNNNNNNNNNNNNNNNNNNNNNNNNNNNNNNNNNNGGACUAGUUUCAUGACGGUGCGUUGUACCUUCAAGACCAACGGUGGAGCUCCGGAGGGGAGGGGGUGGGGGUCCUCGAUCUGCCGUAGGGGGGUUCAAACGGGCCGGUAUGAAGAUAAAGACCCUCUUACUCUUACGCAUCUUUUCCCGUGAAUAAUCAACAGUCUGUACCUUGAUAUUGAGAGAUGACUCCCCAAUUCUGUAUGAGACUCGGAGUUCCACUCCACCACGGGUUUCUCACGGCGUGGCGCCGCCGAUGAGUGAGAAUCUCCAUCCUGCAACCGCCUAGGGCUGGAGAUCUGCCCAGUACUGCGGUCGAAGCUCGGAUUUGGCACGGGUUCCCCACCCUCCUGACCAUCUUGGUGGAUGGAUGGAGCAGGGUGGAGGGAGCUGCCCUAACCUACGACGACCUUUGAACCUAACGGUUAAAAUUAGUCGCCUAUUCUUUUGCAGGUUGCCUUAUUCUUUUGCCUACCGAUGCUAUAUCCCUCACUCCCUUCUUUACACUUGAAUCAACUCCGCGGAAGUGAAUAACAAAAGAAAUUGGAAAACAUGUCUAAAAAAUUCAAGUCUCCAACAUUACAACUACAAAUGCUCCGAAAACCAACCAGGGAGAGAUCAUGGAAAGGAUCAGAGCAGUAGAUGCCCACAUCCUUCUCUCAUAUUCGGCCCCCUUUUGUCUGAUGAGGAAGUAGAUUGAUUGAUCAUCUUCGUAGUGAUCAUCUUGACUCAAAUCAGUGGUCUAAUAAAUUUGGUCAUUAUAUAGUUUUGAGAAAAAUCGAUGGUACAUGUUGCGGCUUUCGGCAAGUUUGUUCCUUAAUGUUGGUAAUGUAUGUCCUCAAGAAUGAGCUGUGGAAGAUUUGGUGGAUGGCAAGCCUAUUUGGCAUGUGCAAUCAGUACGCCGAUUUGGCAUCUUAAUGCAGCAUAUGUUUGCUUGAGCUAAUUCCGAAAUACAUUUUUGAGUUCAUUUCUAGCAUUACUCAGCAUCAACCUCGUUCAUUCUGAGCAUUACAAAGUACACCUUUGCUGGUUUUAAAUAGCGCCGUCAUGACAAACAUAAAAAUUACAACCAAAUGCAUGGGAUUACUAUGUUCUGUAGAAAGGUACAACUGUGGGCGUUGGUAUGGCUGCACUUAUCACCAAGAGGGGGCUGAAUUGGUAAAAGACCAAGUAAUAAAUUAAAAUAACUCCUUUAAAAUGAUCACAGUUGAGUAAAUAUUUUACUGCUAAUGUCACUUGAUUUAUUUUCACUUGACAGAGCUUAACAACUUGUCUUCACACUCAACUCAAUCAAUAUAACCAAAUUUUUAGUAGUUCACUCUUACACCUACAUUGACUUUCCAAACAUUCAUGCUUCGAUUCUAAGUAUGAUAACCAUAUAUGUACAACUGUUGGAUAAAUAUUUAUGGCUUCAACACCCUGUUCAUCUUACUAAUUAUCGAAAAAACCAGCUAGCAGAAAAUGAAAGGUUCUCAUAGUCCUUUGGCUCACUUCUAAGACUUAGCGAGGUGUGUUGUAGAAGAUUAGAAACUUAUGAUGUCCUCACACUCAACCAAUUAUAGAAUCACUCAAUUUCAAUAAAGACAACGGAUUCUAGUACCUGCUUGCUAAAUUUUUAGUGUUAGGUAUCUGGUUGAGGGUGAAAAUCAUGGACUUCAGAUACCCUUUGUUGAGUGUUAAAUUCAGAGUAGAGUAAUUGAUGAUCCUGGCCUGUGUUCAACUCUUACUGAUGUAAGUACUAACACUUAGGAAGAUGGAAGAACUUGCUGUGGUAGACCUUAAAGAAGCCUUGCUAGACCUUAGAGAAAUCUUGUAGUCUUGAUCUGUUAUUUAUGCCAUUAGAACCAUUUUGGAUUAACCUUUCCAACAAGUGGUUGAAUGCCUCUGUUUUUUGCAAGAAGUGAUCUAUAAAAUUAAUUUUCUUCUUGAAUCUUAAUUUUGUUGAUAAUUUUACCCUCGUGGGAAUUUAGCCAUGCUCAUCCGAUUAAAUU